rnacentral:lncRNA from 1 species
GAAGAAGCGCCGAGGCUGGGAGUAGGGGCCUCAGUUGAUGGGGACGGUGGGCUGGAGGCCGAAGGUGAUAGCGCUGGAGACUUAGCUUUGGUCUUGCUAGGGGCCGGAGCUGGAACCGUGGCAGGAGGAGAAGCCAAAGGAGCUGGUGGUGGGGUAGCUGGAGGAGGAGUAGCAGGAGGGGGAGAAGCAGGUGGUGGGGUAGCCUGAGGUGGAGAAGCCGGUGGGGGAGUUGCGGGAGGUGGGGUAGCUGGGGGAGGAGUAGCCGGUGGAGGAGAAGCUGGUGGUGGGGAGCUAACGGGCGGGGGAGUCGCUGGAGGAGGAGUGGAAACUGGUGGUGGAGAAGCUGUCACUGGAGGUGGUGAUGAUGUAGGAGGAGGAGUGGAAGCUGGUGGCGGAGAAGUAGUUGUGGGUGUUGGAGGUGGUUGAGUAGUAGGCGGAGGUGUGGAAGCGGGUGGGGUCGGCGGCACCGGCGUGGAUGUCGGAGGAUUACUAGGAGUAGGAGGAGCUUGGCCUAAAGCGCCAGCUACAGCAAUGCAAAACAAAGCUGAUAAGAACAAAAACUUGUUAUUAAGCAUCAUGUUGGAAACAAUGGUGACCCUUUAAUCCUGCACACCCUCUCCGCUUAAACUACGCCCAGCCGCGCAAGCAAAAGAGGGAGAAGAAUAGCAAGUAUGAGAAAUGAAAAGAUGGUGAUAUUUAUAUAUAGGAUAUGGAAAUUUCUAUAUCAUAUUUCAAUUUUAAAUCCCAAAAACAAAUAAUUUAAUAACAUUUUUAUUUUAUUACUAAUGGGAAAAUUAUAUUACUAAUCCUAUACAAAUUCCUAUUUUAAUUUAGUGCAAUUUAACUCGUUCGUUGUGUUAUUAAUAGGUUCAAAAUUGAUAUUCGAUCGUACAAGCAGAGAUGUAGAAAUCAAUCAAUUUUGUUAAAUAAACAAUAAAUCUCAAUCUUAGUCAAAUGCUUAAAGCUGUUAUAAAAAAAAAAUCACGUCACCACUUUAACAAUAAUAAGUAUCAAAUUAUAUAGAAGUAAAGGAUUAAGUCUCUAAUUUCAAUUUAGUAAAGGGACUAAACUGGAAUUAAAGGGUUAGAGUUUUUUCCUCGUUUGGUGAGGUAAAAUAAAAACCCUAGUGGGGCAUAGUUAUAAUGUCACUUUGAUGAUUAUAAAUGAUGCGUUAGUUAGUCAUACUUUAGGUAAAAAACUGUAAGGUGAGUUAGUGUAGAUUGAAAUAUUUUAGUGAAAGGUUAAUUUAUACCUUAAAAAUUUUGCAAUAUUUGGUAGUUCCAUGAAAUGAUUCCCACUAUCAUCAACUUUUCAAUCAUUCAAAUAGGUUUUAAUUUGUUUUGUUGUGAAAUUUUUAAGGAGUAGAUUUGAUUAUGGAUCAGGUCGGGUUGUUAUAAAAUUUUAGGUUUGUUUUUUAAGUUUGAAUUUGACUUGAAAAAUAGGUUUAAAUUUUUACUUAAGCCCAGUCUAGAUAAAAAUAUUAAACCCAAGUCCGGACGUAUUAAACUUUUUAUAUUAUUAUUUAUAUAAAAACAAAUUUAAAAAUAUAAUACAUCAAAUACACUAAAAAUAUUAAAAUAGAUGUUCCCCAACAAAUUCAAAAUACAUUAAAAAAGUUUUUAUACUUAGCAAGCAAAUGCCUCUAAAAUAGUAGCAAAAUUAACAACAAAAGAGUUAUAUAAUAUCCAAACAAUAACAACAAAAUAGUAGUAAUAUAAUAGCAAAAUGGCAGCAAAAUAACAGUAGAAAAAAAAUUUAGGCAAAUUCGGGCUGAGCUGUGUCAAGCCCAGGUAAAAAAAGAUCUUACCCGAGGUCGGCCCUUUUAGAAAACGAGCCUUAUUUUAUUGUCGAAACCCAUUUUCUGAACCUAUAUUUUUCCCAAAUCCUCCCACUUUUGGGGCGAUCUUUCGGGCUUGGGCAGGUGGCUCGGCCCAUGAUUAGGUCUAACGAUGGGUUCUUUUGUUAGUAAUGUUUAUUUGGUGUUUGAGUUUUUUCUGUCUUAAUUUGGUACCUAAUUUUGGCUUUAAUUUUUUUUUCCAAUUAAGCACUUAAGUUUGGCUUCAAUGUUCAAAUUGGUACCUAAUUUUUUUUAUCCAAAUUAAUUACCUAUAUUUUGUUUACCAAAGCACGUGUGUCAAACAUUCAUUGGGUCAUAUGAUGACAUUUGGCUUAGGUAUCAAAUGAAUAUCAAAUCCGAACUUGAGUACCAAAUUGAAACAAAAAACACAAAUACCAACUAAGUAUUGAAGCUAAACUCAAAUAUGGAAUGGUAUGUUAGCCCAUUUGUAAACAAAAUUUCAAGGAAGACUUAAAAUUUAGCAUCUACUGAGCUUUCAUUUUCCCUUUUGUAUGUUACAAUUGAUGUUUGUUUAACGCAUAAACUUGGUAUCUUUUUUCCCGUAAUGAUAUUUAAGCUUUUUUUUAUACUUGAUAUCCAAACUUUCAUUCUGUCACACCAUUUUGAGCAAUUUUUGUACAACUAUAUUAAAAUCUGUAGUUUGGUUAUCUUCAACAUUAAGGAUUUCUACGACAUACUUUUUGCGCAUUCCUCCCAUGACAUUAAGAAGUAGGGAGGCGAAAGUGGUGGUGCUAAAAGGAUCAGUUUAUCUAAUUAAGUGGAGAGUUGAAAAGGGAAAUAAAUUAGGAAGGAGUAGGGGACUCACACAUCCAUAACAUAUGCAUAUGUUAAGAUUAAAAAUUUACACAACCCAAUUGCAAAUGGUGAGACUUGGACUUGGAUACUCAAGGAUCCAAGAUCUCGCCUUAACCAACAAUGUUAAGAUCUCAUUGACUCUUUUGGGGUUUUUUCAAAUUCAAAUAUAAGGAUUAAAAAUUAUGAUAUAACUCAAUAUAAUAUUAAAGAGUAAAAAUUAAUCAAAAUUUACAUAUAUCACUCAUUUAAUCAUGUGUACAGAUAAAAGGAAACCACUCGUCCUCUUGCCAACCCUACGUGUAACAUAAUUCACCAUAAAUUCCAUUUACCAACAUAUACAUACAUACAUAAAUAUAAAAGAGAACUUCAUUGGUCUUGGACUGGAUUGGCUACAAACUUUGACAAAAGGCAUGUGUAGGAGGAUUAAAUUCGAUGAAUUGCAUGAUAGUUUCUCCUUUUUGAUAAUUUAGUACAUGAGAGAAUAAUGAUGAUUGUGGGGGGGGGGGUGCUCCAUCGAAAUAGCUGGAAUUUAUUUAUUUUAGUGAACUGGCAAAUGUAAUUUGUACGCCAAGUUAUAAGGUGAAAAAGGGAGAAAUCAUAUAGAUUUGGUUGGUAAUGGUAUGUUGAUGUUGAAGCACCUGCGGUGCAACGCCACAAUUAGUAGGCCCCUAGCCCCGCUGUCACCCCAUCAUAUGUGCUUUUGGAUGGAUCCAACAUUUUCGUGUUCUUUCCUUCUUCAACAUCAUCAUUAUUAAUUAGUUACUCUUCAAUUUCUAUAUGUAAUUUGCUUUCUUUUCAUUCAUAGGUUUUCUGUUUUUCUUUCUUUGAUUUUGUCUUGUGCACAACUGACGUCCUCCAUUAUUUUUCCCCUUUUGUAUAAUUGGGUUUGUGACUUCAAUAGUCUCCGUUUGUAUGGAAAUUAUUUUAUGGAUUUUUUCAUCAUAUCAUUUACGAUAUAUUUUUAGUUAUUUAAUGUUAUUUUAGUAAUUUUUUUUAUAUCAUUGAUACAUAAUUUUGUUAAUUUUUUUACCCAGAACUUUUAAUCUCGAACUUAGAACCCCGAACUCCGAAUCUUGAACCUUGAAUUCUAAACUUAAACCUUGAAUCUUGAAACCCUCAAGGUUCAGGUUCAAAGUUUGCAGUUCAGAGUUUGAGGUUUGAAAUUUAAGGUCUGAGUUUAAGGUCAAGGUUCAAGGUUCAGGAUUCUGGGUUUGAGGUUCAAGAUAAAAAAAAUUACUAAAAUUAUAUGUCAAUGACAUGAAAAAAUUAUUGAAAUGUCAUUAAAUAAUAGGAAAGAGACCAUGGAUGAUGUGGUGGGAAUGGUCCAAAAAUAAUUUCUCAUUUGUAUGGGAUAUUGUUCCUUAUCUAUUAUAAUUUGGUAUCUCUAUUUUUAUAAUAUUAUUAGUAAAUCCAAAUUUAUAACGAUGUUGAUUGCUUCAAUAAAAUGAUAAGGUGGAUUUUUAUAGGAAGAAAGUUAUUUGAGUUUAUUCGAAGUUAUAAUUUAUAAUUGUAUUAACAAUUACAAACUAAACCAAUUAUUAAAAAUAAUUAACUUAACUCAAACUAAGUCAUCAGAAUAAAUUUGAUUGUGGGAUUUGAAUUUGAGCCCUCCUUAGGCUUCAUUAGCUUAUUUGGGCUCUAUUUACUAAAAGAAAAUUAUCAACAAAAAAAUUCAUGACGAUCCAUUAAUAAUUUUAUUAAUUUGAAGUUUAUUUAAAAAAAAAGAGUAGAAGGAAGUAGUAAAGGAAUUUUCAUGCAUCAAUAAUUUAUAAUUUAAACUAUGAAAUUUCAAAAAAGAAGAAAUUCAUGUUGAAAGUGAUACUAUCAAGCAAUUUAGAAGUGUAAAAUUUUCAAUAUCAGCUGGAUAUUUAAUGUCAAAUAAACUAAAGAAAUGAGAAAGACAAGCCAAUUGUCCACAAUGAUUAACUUGUUCCUAAAAAGAAAGUUGUACAUAGACUUUGCUUAUAAAUCAAUCCAAUUUUUUUUUAUAUAAAAGGAUUGAGUUAUUUGUACCACAACCCAUUUAAUUAUUAUUUUAAUUAUCGACUGAGUCUUAGUUCAGUUGGUAUUGGCAUUAAUAUCAGUGUAGGAGGAGUGGGUUCAAGUGCGCUGAAACGCAUUAUCCUCCUAUUUAAAUGUUGCGAAGGGACUAUAUGUUCGAGAGUAGAUGUGAUAAGAACCUAUAAUAAGAUUAAUGUAAUGCCCCUCGUUCCUUUAAAUGCUACUUGAAACAUACUUAAUUAUUAUUUACUAAAAUAUUGACAAAUCUGUAAUUUGAAUCUAUAUUCUUAUCAUAUCGGCUCUUUUUGAUACAAUGCUUACAACUAUCUAUAGCCCCUCCCCAAUCAUUAAAUAGGAGGAUAAUACACUUCAGCGCAUUCGAAUCCACAUCCUCUUGCACUGACAACAAUGUUAAUCAAUACAAUUCUAAAUACGAGUGUACUACUUAGAUAAUCAUAUCCAAGGUACACAUAGUUUUAAAAUUUGAUCCACACAUUUAAAUAUACCCCACCUCUGAUCUUAUCUAGCAUUUAUCACCGAAGCUGACGGUUAGACAAACAAAACAACUUGAUUGAUAUAAUAUUGAUAUUUUACAGACUCAAUCGUAAUGUUUUAUAGCUCGAGAUGAACGUAGAAUCGUGGCCAUAAUUAUGGAGGUUUGGCUGAAUUGACUCUAUUUCUAAAUAUGUCAUGGUAGACAUUCAAUAUUAAAAAAGACAAAGGGAAAAUACAAUAACCCAAAACACCAAAUUUUGGUUGGUUUAAUUUGCAGCUUUAACCAAUGCUUUUGCUUGAUCCAUCAAUUAGUGAGGAUUUCGAUCUAAAUUAGAGGGUCCCAUUCGGUUAUUAAGCUCUUUUUCUCCCCUCAUGAUUGCCAUAACAUGGGCCCUUACCCUUUUACUUUGGAUACCCUUUUAUCUUUGCUUUGGUUUGAUUAAACUAUACCUCAAUUUUUAGAUUGGUCCUUAAAAGUUUUUUCUAUCAAGAGUGGUCCCCACACUAUCAAAUUUAUCUCAUUUUACCCAAAAAGCUUACGACAUCCAAUAAAAAUAUUUAAAAUGUGACACGUGUUACAUUCUUAUUGGUUAAUAUCAUUUUUUGAGUAAACUAAAAUAACAUUAACAGUUUAACGAUCACUUUUGAUCAAAUAAAAAAGUUUUAAGGACUACUCUAGGAAUUGAGAUAUAACUUAGGGGUUAUUUUGUUAAUAAAGCUUUGAUUUAAUUCAAUAGAGAAAUCAUUAACACAGAAAGAGUUUUCUUUAAUUUACUCAAAUGGUCUUUUUUGUUUGUAUCACCUAACAUUUUGAAGAACAUCCUUUCUCUGUGUACCUCAUACAAUUCGUUAAUACGAAAAUUUUAUGAUUUUUUUUAAAAUAAAUUUAAUUGUCACGUUGCAUGUUACAAAUACUUUUAAAUGUGGACUUUUUUUUCAUAUGAGAUUACCUUUAAUACCAAUUAAAAAACAUCUUAAAAGAUAUAUCAGUUAUACUCAAAUCAAAAUGUUUAAACUUAAUUUAUCUAAUUUCUUGGGCAGGGACCUAACCCAAAAUUGGUAAAAUUAAAAUUAGAUCUUUCUAAUUUUGAAGCACUAAAAUUGGAUUUCUUUUAAAUUGUAAAAUUAUAAAUUUAACCCUUAAAAAAAUUAUAAUUCAACUUUAGCCUCUAAUUUUUUUUCUCUAACUUCAUCUCCGCCUAAUUCAAUAUAUUUUAAAAAAAAUUGACUACAAACAUCUAGACAUUACCAACAAAAAUAUAUUUAUAUAAAUUAUAUUAAUUCUAUAAGCAAUUUUCAAAAUUUUCAUAUAUCUCGAUUUUUCUAUAUAUAUUUUUUUAUUUUUUAUUAAAUCAUGAAUGAAAUAUAUAUUAUCUUUCGGAUUCUACUUAUAAAGUCUAAUAACUACACUAAUAACGUAUUAAAUCAUUUUAUGUAUAUUUAUAUAAGCUCAAGUGGUCCUAGGUAGCUUAGAGUACAAGGGAUUAAGUUGAGGGCCCUUAUCAUUUUCUCCAAAUGUGAAGUGAUGUUAACUGCUUAGCUUCCUCCUCUUGCCCCAUUCAUUUUCCUUCCUUUCCACAAUAUAUAUUGUAUAAAUAUUUAUGGGUAAUCGAUUGAGUCUUAACUCGAUUAGUAUGAGUAUUGUUGUCAAUACAGGAGGGCGUGUAUUCGGCACAUUAUCCUCCUAUUUAAGGGUUGGGAGGCUAUGAGUAGUUGUAGAUAUUAUAUUAAAAAAAACAGAUAUGAUUAGAACCUAUAAUGAGAUUAUUAAAAAAAAUAUUUAUGGGUAAUCAGUUUAUACAAUUUCAAUUAAGUGUAUAAAUCCAAUCAUUAAUCAUUAAAAUGUUUUACUUUAUGCCAUAAUAUUGUUUUAACUGCAGAAGCAUGUGGGUUAAUGAAAACUACUUAUAGUAUCUCAAUUAAAUGUAAUCAACAACCUCAACUCAUAUCUUCCUUCUCUCUCUCACUCUCAAUUAUAUAACCUACUAAUAAUUAACAUUAAUAACCCACUUUCAAGUACAUCUCAGGCUACCUGCCAUACCAAGCCUAAAGCUCCUAAGAUUUUCUAAAAGGUUUGCACAAAAAAUACAAAGAUUUAUAGGAUAAUGGAUUUGGGAAAAGAUUAAGCUUAAUUAUUUAAAUUAUAGGUUGAAUUUAUCGAUAAGUCAUGUUAAGCGUAAUGGUAAGAUACAUUGUACUCUUAAGAAAAGAAUGUAGAUUCAAAUAUUAAAAACGACAUUGUUAAAAAAAAUAAUCACAAAUCUCAAACAUGAAUCAUAAAACAGACAUGUAAAAUACAUUUGGACUCAUUUAAGAUUAUUAAAACAUGGAUAAUUUAACUCAAUAUUGCAACAUGAAUUUCGAUAUAGUUUCUAUAAAAUUUAGUGUUACAAUAUGAUUUCGUGAUAAAAUCAAUAAUGUUGAUUUGUAUUAUUGUAUUAAGUAGUGCAUGAAAUGUAGGAUUAGAUAAAUUUGUAUAAAGUGCAUGCUAAAAACUGUUUUGAAGGCUUUAUAGAAUUCUUUUCGCUUAAAAGAUAAGAGUCUACCUGAUCAGCUAAGGUUUACAAUGUGGCUUAUAGGUUUAGCUUUCAAUCGAAUUGAGUGAAAAAUUUUUGAGUUAAUCGAGUUGACGAGUCCUAUUUUAUCAUUCUAACUCAAUUUGAAAUUUUCUCGAAGUCGAGUAAAAUGAAAUUCAAGUUAAGUCGAAUCGAGUGAAAUUGUUCGAGUUAAAUUAAAAAAUUAAACAUGUCAAAUUAAAAUCUUAUUACAGAAUAAUUAAUUUCAUGUUAGAGCACAUAAAUUUGAAACCAUAUAUAUUUGAAAACUUUUUCAAAGCAAGAUAAGAAAAAAAAUACUUUAGUAUAAUAAACUUGAAUCAUUAAUUAACUUAUUUAAGUCCCCAAAAUUAUUAUUUUAGAACAUUUUUAAAUUUUUAACUUUCUUUAUAUAUUCUUUAUAUUUUUUUAAAAAAUAUAAUUUUUGGAAUUUUUAUAAAUAUUUUGAAUUUUAAAAAUUAUUUUGAUUUUUUUUUGUAAUUUUUGUUGAAAAAGACCAAUUUGCUCAUUUUUAAAACUGACUGGGAUCAAAAGGGUAUUUAUAUCAAUCUAUUACUCGAAUUGUUCGAGUUAUUCGAAUUGUAAAAUUCUACUCGACUUGAACUCAAAACUCGAAUUAUAAAUUUUACUCGAAAAAAUCAAAUAACUUGAUUCAAUUAACUCAUAAUUCAAUUUUUAUUUUAUUUUUUCAAAUCGAGUUUUGUUCACCCCUAAUAACUUAUUAGCAAGAAUUGUUCAAUUUUAAAAUACAAGCUAAUAAGAUUAUUUUAUCUUGAUAUUAAAUGCUAUUUAUACAACUUAUAAAAGAUGGUCGAUACACACAGAUGGGGUAGACUUUUUGAGUGUUUUUGCAAGGUAUAUACACCUUGAUACCUUAGGUAUUAUUUGGAGAGUUUUAUUCAUUUGUAUGCAAAUAUGUUUGCGGUAUGUGAUAAUAUUUUGGGAGAGUGAGUGUAAAGAAUUGCAUACUAGUGAAACAACUUUUAUCUUCAUUUUGCAAGAUAGAUACACCAUGAUUAGAGGUGUACAUGAGCCAGGCCGGGUCCAAUCAAAAUUUUAGACCCAUUUGUUAGGCUUGGUCCAGCCUGCCCGUAUUAAUUUUUUAUACAAAUUUAAAAAAUAUACAAUACAUCAAAAACACUAAAAAUAUUAAAUAAAAUUUUCUCAACAAAUUAAAAAUAAGUUUUUAAAAAAUAUGUACUUAAAUAAAACUAAGAUAGGUGAAACUUAACAAGCAAAUACCUCUAAAAUAGUAACAAAAUUAAUAAUAAAACAAUAGUCGUACAAUAUCCAAAUAAUAACAACAAAAUAGUAGCAAUAUAAUUAAUGUGAAAUGGUAGCAAAAUAGUGAAAAACAACAAAAAAAAUAGCAACAAAAUAAUAAAAAAAAAACAGAAAAAAAAACUGCAAUUUUUUUUAUUUUGUAUAUUCGGGUCGGGUUGAGCCGGACUCAAACCCAAAAAUCCUUACUCGAGGCUCAGCCCGUUUUAAAAUAAAUAUUGUUUAAUUAAUUAAUUAAAAAACCAAUAGUGUUUAAAAAAUAUCACAAUGAAAUAUUAAAUUUUAUAAGAUUUCAUAAUUCUAAAAAAAUAAAAUAUGAAAAUGUUUAAAAAUUUUAUUAAUUUUUUAAAAAAAUUAUACAAAAUUUUAAAAAAUAAUCAAUUACUACUAAAAAGUUUUAAAUCAAAAUUAAAUAUAAUGUAAUUAGAAAUUUAUUUUUAAAAUAUUUAUUUUAUUUUUUUAUAAAUACUAUUAAAUGUUUUUAACGGUAACAUAUUUUAAAAAGUAUAAUAAUUUUACAUAAAAAAUUUAUGUUUACUAAUUACAUUUUUUUUAUUUUUUCCUAACAUAUCAUUAUCUGCAACUUGUCAUAUUAAAGAAUUGAAGAUUUAUUUGAGUAGUUAACUUUUUUACAAAAAGAACUAAUUAAUUUUAUUAUUUUUAUGAAUUGUUACACCCCAUACCCGGUCUAGAUGUUAUGGCCAGAUCUUAAGGAAUUACAGAAGUUCAUUUUAAAACUAGAUUUUUAAUUUGAAAUCGUGUAAUAGAAUAAUGUUAACUUUGUAAAAUCGCUUUCCAAUUUUAAGGGAAAUACUCAUUUAAACUAUUUCUUUUAUUGCAGAAAAACACUUCAGUGAUCACUUCAUUUUGCAGCGGAAAUUUUCUAAGUUAUAAAAUAUUGAAAACUGUGGCUUGGUUUGUAAAAACAAAUAAUUUUGCAGUUUAAAAAUAUAACAGUUGCAAACUCCGUUAAAGCAAAUCAAAACAGAAAAUAAAGUCCCAGAAUAAUUUACAGUCCAAAAAAUCCAUAAUAAUUACAUUAACCAUUUUAAUUCAGAGAAUCUAACCCAAGCUCCCACACGUCGUCCAAUAUUAGGUUUCCUAAUCACCUGAGAUGAUAAAAGUAAAGGGUGAGCUAACAAGUUUCAUGUGUAACUCAAUCCAUACAAACAACACAGAUACAGUAACAGAUACGAAUACAUAUGCAACUACAGAUACUAAUACUGGUUCUAUUUCCAUUCGCUACACACCAUCUUCAUCCAUCCCUACACACCAAUUAGGGUAUUAAAUAUCCAUCCAACCCAUACACCUAUAAGUGAGCAUAUGUCAUUUUUCAGAAUAGUGCAAUCAAGUUGCCAGAAAUAAUGCGGUAAUCCACCAGAAUUAAAUAAGUGUGGUAAAGCCACCAGAAUAGAUAUGUGGUUUAUACUACCAAAUAAGGCAAAUCAUUAAAUUGUCAACACUUCCUCCAUCAUAUCAUUAUCCCACCCCAAUGCACAUGCAAACACUAAUUAGAUAAUAGAUGCAUAUAUAAAUCAUACAUGCUAUACAUAUCAAAACAUAUUAUCAUGCUUUUAGAAAUUGCACUAACAAAAGUAAAAUAUUAGAUUUCAUAUCUAUAAGUCAUACAUAACACAUUACGGAACCUAAGAAAUGGCAAACCUCGAAUCGUACUUCAAAUACGACCCUAACUAAAUUUUACAGAAAAUGGGCUCACACACCUGUGUGGCCCACAUGGUCUGGCACAUGGCCUCACACAUGCCCAUGUGGCCCACGGCCCACUUAACUUAGUCCGUGUGGCUUAUACGGUUUGGCACACGGUAGUGUGGCGUCGACAGUGAAUUUUUUGGCUUGGAGAUUAUCGUUACACAUCUAGUCGUUUUUUGAUACUAACACCACUACAAGGAUUCUAGAACCUAAAACAACAUUUAACACGAACAAUUUAGCAACGAUACACUAAAUAUAAGCCACUAAUUAUUCAGCCACAACCACUAACAUUAGGCUUUAACAAGCCAAAAAUCAGUCUUUCAGACAUUUGGUUACUUACCCAGAACAAUAGCGACAGUCCUAAAAAUCUUCUAAUUCGCCGAAAAGACAUCACACGCCUCACAAACUUCUCCUAUUGAAACAUAACAUGUCAUACGGAAACGAAUUAACCUUACUACUGAAGAACACACUUACGAGACUUACACUUGAACAAAAAUACGAAUUCCUUGCUCGAACAUAGCACCACGAUGAUUACACGUCAGAAAAUCAAUACCACAAUGAUUUAAACACAGGACCUCUAGGUAAGCUGAAGUCUUACCACUGAACCAACAAGCUCAUUUUUAUCAUUAAUUGAGCAAAAAUAAUAUAUAAGCUUAAUAUCCAAAUCAAGGGUUGAGUCAAAAAUUUAAAAAAAAAAAUUAAACAAAAGAAUUUGAACCUAGAACCUCAUACACACUAACACAACACAUAACCACUAAACUAGAUUAAUCACUUUGAUAAUUUUUAACAAUUCAAAAAUAAAAAUUUUGGGGCGUUACAAUCAUAAUAUGGUUUAAAUUAUUUUUUACAUCAUUCAUAAAAAUUAUAACAAACUUACAAAAAGAUUUAAUGAUAUUUAAUUAUUAACGGGUAAAAAAUUUAUAUCAUAUAUCAUAUAUAUUCUAUAUAUAUUAUAAUAGUUUCAUCUUUCAAAUUUUCUUCCUCAUAAUUAAAGCAUAAGUUAUAUUUAUAAUAUUAUAAAUAUAUUAUAUUUAAAAAAUUUACACACACAAUCAACCUAUGCAUUGCACGAGAUAAGAAAACUAGUUUAUAAAUAUAAACGAGUUUACAUAAAAUUUAAUAUACAAAAUUCGAGCUAAAUCUAGCUUCAAUUUUUUGGUCAACUUCUUUUGACUUUAAAUCUUACUUCUUCUUCUUCUUUUGGCAUAAUGACUUAUUUGGCACAAAAACAAAAGUCAUAUUAGCUUUUUAUGUAUUUUUUUCACCAUUUUUAGCCUUUAAACUUGCAUUUUUUUGUCAAAUCACUCCAAAAUGAAUGGAUAUGUUAAUGUUUUUUAACUUUGCUAAUGUUGCAUACAUGUGGAUUGCUAUGUGGAUGACACAUCAACAUUUAAUUAAUUUUAAAAAAUAUAAAAAAACUAUUUUUAAAAAUUAAAAUCAUUAAAAUUAUCAAAUAAAUAUAAAUAUUUUUAAAAAUUAAUUAAAUGUUGAUGUGUCAUCUACGUGGCUAUCCAUAUGUAUGUCAUGUCAGUAAAGUUAACAAAUAUUAAUAUUUUCAUCCAUUUUGGAAUAAUUUGACAAAGAAAUACAAGUUCAAAAACUAAAAAAGACAAAAUUAAAUAUAAGACCAAAAUAUAAUUUUUUUAAAAUUGAAGGACCAAAUAAAUGAUUACGUAAAGUUGUGAAUAUUAAUCUUACCAUAACAAUCAUAAUUCGCUUAUGCUUUAUUCAUUUUUAGGGUUUUCCUUACUAGGAGUCUAGGAUACUUGAAGGCAGAUAUUAUUAUUAUAAAUAUUAUUAUAUAUUAAAUUAAUUUUAUGUUUAAUAAUUAAAUUUAAACAGAUUUUUUUAAUUAAGGAACAAUAAUUUGGUCCGGAUGCGUCCUUGGACAGUUUUGUAAUUUCCCAAGUUAUUAACUUUUGUUUAGGGUUUAUCAUAGUUAGGAAUUAAUUGGGCUAAUUUCUCAACUUAGAUUUAAUGAUACGAUUAAAAAAUAGGAAAUAUCAAAAUCUGAUAAUAUGAAUUAUUUGUUGACACCAUUUUUUUGAUAAAACGGGGUCGACUUGGAUUUUGAAAACGAAAACGAAAAUGGGAGUCGCCACCAAUCCUUUUUGAUGAGGUGUGAUCGGAUCACCUUGAAAAGUGGUUGUUUUUAAUAAACGAUUUGAUUUUGUUAAAACAACAAUUUUGGUCCACAAAAUUCAGAAAAUCAGGUUUGGGAGUCGGUUACGUACAAGGAAGGGUUAGCACCCUCGUAACGCCCAAAAUUGGUACCUAGUUGAUUAAUUAGUGUCUUAGUGUCGAGAAUUGGAAACUUUGAAGAGAUUCAAAAUACGAUCUUUGAUUUUAAAAAACUCAUAUAAAACAAGUUACUCGUUAAGACCCUCUCAUUUCGGAAAGAGAAAAUGUCACACCCAAUGAGUUAGGGCAUAAUAUUUCAAUUCCUCAAAAAUGAGCUUAUCCAAAAAAAAAAAACUCGUGCAAUAAAAUUUAAAAGGAUAUUCAAUUGUUUAAGUCAGAUGAGGAAAUCGCAGCACAAUACGUUAGGGCACAAUUUCUCAAAAUUCUAAACAUUGAAUAUUACCUUUAUUAUUUUUAGGAAAAUCCUCAUCUCGAGAAAACAACGUGUCAUAUCCAAUGCGUUAGGACACAACGUAUUGAAUUCCCGAUAAUGAACUUUUUAUUCAUGUGUUUUUUUUUAUUAAAGAGCAUUCUCGACUAUUUAGAUUCAACGAAAGAAAUUGGAACCCAAUACGUUAGGGCUCAAUCCUCUCGAAGAUCCCAAAUACCGAGUAUUGCCUUUAUUUUCAAAAUUUCCUCUUUUUACAAAUUCAGGUAAAAAUUGAUGUAAUAUUAAAUAAAUAAGUAAAUAAAGAAAAUGAAUAAAUUUAUAAAAAAAUGUAAAAAGAUAUAUAUAUGUAUGUAUAUUAAAAUAUAUGUAUAUGUAUUUACAAAAUAUAAAAAAUGUAUAAGUACAUAUAUAUAGGUAAAGUAUGAAAAUAUGUGUAUAUAUGUACAUAAAUUAAAAUGCGUAUAUAUAUAGGUGUAUACUUAUAAUGAUUUAAAAAUGUACAUAUAUAUUAUAGGGACUGUAUGUAUACAUAUUACAUAUGUAGGGAUUAUAAAAUGUAUAUGCCUAUAUUUAUAUAUUAGAAAUAUGCAUGCUUAUAUAUAUAUAUAUAUAUAUAUAUAUAUAUAUAUAUAUAUAUAUAUGUAUAUAACAAGAUUUUGGAAUAAAAAAAAAAAAAGGUGUAACCGAAUAAAUAAUAAUAAUAAAUAAUAAUGUAAUAAUAUUAAUAGUAUUAAAUAAUUACUUUUAAUAGAAAAAUAACUAAAAUAGCAGAUUGAGGAUUAAAUUGAAAAUAAACGGAAUUUUAGGGCUGGAUUUAAAAAUGGAAAACACAAGGGGGACCGAUUUAUAACGCGCGCGAAGUCCAGAGGAUUGAUUUGGAAAAUAUCCCAAGCCCUACGCGUAGCGUUUUGAUGCGGACUGAAAUGAAACAUAAGAGAAAUUAUGCAGCCGAAUUAAAAAAACAAAAUGGGACCAAAUUGCACUAGGGUGCGAAAGAGGACGGACCUCUCGCAAAAUAUCCCCCUUCACUGCAGAAACACGAGGAUCCUGAGGGCGGACGGGUCGGGUCGUGGGUCAGGGCCAAAACGACGUUGUUUUGGCACCACCCCUAGUUGCGAAACGGCGCCGUUUUAUUUAGGGUAUUUAAGUAAAAAAAAUUUUGAAAAAUCAAUACAGCCACCAUUUAAAAAAAAUUCAAAACCCCUCCCCUUUUCUCUCAACAUCCAGCUCUCAGUCCCCUCGGCCUCCGUCACCCCGCCUCUACUCGCCGCACCGCCACUGUAUUCGACGGCCGACGAAGCGCAAGAACGGCCGUUCGAAGCCCUGCCCCGGUGAGUUUCCCCUUUCCUUCUUUUUUUUUUAUUUACCGUAUAUAAAAAGAAAUAAAAAUAGAAUUAAAAAAUAGGGAUACACUAUCAAAAUAUGGAUCUUGUUCCAAAAUCAAACAAUCACAUAUGGAUCUUGUUCCAAAAUCAAACAAUCACCUUGAGAUUGUUGUGUUUCUUUUUAUUCUUUGUGUCUUUUUGAUUUUCUGAAAUGUUCAAAAGAAAAGAAAAGAAAAAACCCUUACAAUCGGUUUUAGAUGGCUUUUAUAGCCAUUUACAACAUUUUUUUUAUCUAUUUUUCUAAUGUUUCUCUUGCGUGCUUGUUCUUCUUUGUAGGGAGUGGUUGGCGCGACAGGGAGGAGCGGUGGUGGUAGCUGAGGCUAGGGAUAGGGUGCGGUGGCUAGGGUUUCAGAAAACUGAAACCCUAGUUUGACUAUUGGGUCAGUGGGUUUUGGGUUGUAAUGGGCUAGUAUUUUGGGUUUCAAUUGGGCUAGGGUGUUUUGGGUUAAAUUUCUUGGACUGUUAAUUUUUAAUUUUUUUUGGGUUUUAUUUGUCUGGGCCCGGGCAAAAAUGGGCUUGUACAUUAUUAAUACUCGUUUUUUUUAUAUGAGUAAAUAGAUAAUUACUUGAACCAAUUUAAUAAAAAUUAAUAUAUUAAAAAAUAUAAUUUCAUCAUUUUAAUAGUUUAUAUCUUUAUAAAUUUUAAAUGAUUAAAUCAAAUUUUUAUUAUUUGAGAGGUUAAAGUACAAUUUUACUAUUACUAAUUUAAAAUUUUAUAAAUUAUAAAGGAGACUAAAUAAAAAAAUCCAUUUUAAGGAGGCCGGAAAACCUUGCCAGCCUCCCUGACUUCACCAUUAAAAUCUAGAAUAUGCUCCUCACUAUGCGUCGGAAAAUUAAAGAUUUAAAAUUAUAUUAUCGUGUAAUAGAUAUAAUGAUUUUAAUUUUUAAAUAAAUAAAUAAAUAAAGUUAAAGUUAAAAUCAAAUCAAUGUGAUCAAUUGUACAAAAUAUAGAUGAUUUAAGACAUGAUGCAAAUAAAGCAUAGUAAAAUAAUUAAUAUAUAGCAUGCCAUGAUAACAAAUGCGAAUUUAGAGAGGCAGACAAGGUUUGUCCCCUAAAAUAGAAAUUUACUAUUUAGGCUUUUAAGUUUUUUUAAAAUUUUAAAUUAGUAAAGGUAAAAUUAUACUUUACCCCUCCAAAUUAUAAAAAUUUGAUUUAAUCCUUUAAAAAUUAUAAAAAUGUAGACUGUUAAAAAUUAAAAUUUUAUUCGGCCUCCUAAAAAAAUUUUCUAGCUUCGCCCCUGCAUGAUAAUAAUAUUAAUACAACACAAAUACACAAAAAAAAAUCAAAUUUUAUACAUAAUAAGUAUUUACUUGUAUAAUUUUGUAAUAUUUUGAAUCCAAAGAAAUAACACAAACAAUUUUCUCUAAAUUGAAUCACUCAAAUAAAAUAUUUUAAAUAUCUCAUAAUUUUAAAAUAUACUAUAAGGAUAAUUUUAAAAAAUAAUUUAUUAUGAUAAUUUAUAUAAAUUAAAUAAAGAAACAAUACUAAACCAAUAUAAAAGAAAUGUAAUAAUAAUAUCAUAAACAAUUUUUAGUUAAUGUUUCCUGGCUUCCUCAUGUAUAAGAAAAAGCCUUACAUUGAGAGGCCAGUAGACGUUUGGCCUUCAAACGAUUGACUAAUUUUUGUCUUUUAAUUAGAAUUUGGCACGUUGAUGGUAAAAAUAUAGGCUCGAAAAAUAGAUUUGGGCAAAAAAUAAUACUCGUUUUCUAAACGGGCCAAGCCUCGAAUAAGAUCUUUUGAUCUGGCCUGGCCUGAAUUUGCCUAAAAAAAAUUUCGCUACUGUUUAGUGUUGGUUUGUUGUUGUUUGCAGCCAUUUUGAUGUUGUUUUGUUAUCAUAUUGCUACUAUAUUACUACUAUUUUGUUGUUAUUGUUUGGAUAUAAUAUAACUCUUUUUUUAUUAUUAAUUUUGCUACUAUUUUAGAGGCAUUUGCUUGUUAAAUUGCAACUAUCUUAGUGUUAUUUAAGUAUAAAGACUUUUUUAAAUGUAUUUUCAAUUUAUUGGGAAACACUUAUUUUCAUGUUUUUAGUGUAUUUGAUGUAUUAUAUUUUGGGUAGACUACCAAAAUAGUCACUUUUGUUUACCUCGGGUUACAUUUUAGUCACUUAUGUUUGAAAUGUUAGGUUUUAGUCACUUACAUUAUCGUUUUGUUACGAAAUGGUUGUUACUCUAUCAUUAAGAUUUGUUACUAGUUCGCGAUAGAAUGUGCAAGUGUACACAGUCGUUAUCAAGUAAUAAGUAAGCAAAAAGAGUUAUUGUCUCCAUAGGAACUGUGUUUAAAUCGAUAAUUGUAAAAUUACUAUUCACAAGUUGGUUUAAAAAACACAAUAUUUUCAAGGUGAUUGAUGUUAGAAUUAAAUUAAUGCAAAUGAAUUAACCUAAAUGCAAUGCAAUGAAAUAAGAUGCAAUGAGAUGGUUUAGCAACAAUUUCAUAAGUUUUAACAAAAAUAACACGAAUGAGCUAGAACAACUACAACACUUGACUCAAUUCGUAUGAUGAUAAUCAGUAUGUUUUUUUCACCUUCAUGUUGGAAAUUCGUCAUGCGUAAUUAUACACGUAGACCUUUAAAUUCUAUAAUGUGUGAUUGUCAUGUGUGGAUUUUAAUUUACACUACAGCAAAACAAGAUUUUAGCGGCGUUUGAACGAAAAGCGCCGCAAAAAAUCGAGCAUUAGUGGCGAAUUCUAACAAAAGCCGCAAUAUGUAAGCAAUAGCGGCGCUUUUACUAAAACGCCGCAAAUGAUCAAGCAUUAGGGGCGCUUAUAGAAAAACGCCGCAAAAAACUUGGGAAAAACAACGCCGUUUGCUUUUUCCAUUAGCGGCGAUAAUUAACAAACGCCGUAAAAAAUCUAGAAUUAGCGACACUCUUUUACAAAUGCCGCAAAAGAUCGAGAAUUAGUGGCGCAUUCUGUAAAACGCCGCUAAAGGUCAAACAUUAGCGGCGCUUUACGAAAAACGCCGUAAAAAAUUUGAGAAAACAACAUCGUUUUGUAUUUUGAGAUUUAAUGGUAUUAGCGGCGCAUUUUAACAAAUACCACAACAGAUCGAGAAUUAGCAGCUCUUUUUAUGAAACGCCGCUAAAAAAUGAGCAAAACGAUUUCGUUUUUUUUUGUUUAGCAUUAGCGGUGUUUUUUAAGAAACACUGCAAAAAAUAGUUUUAUUUUACACUUUUUGGUUUAGGGUUUAUGGUUUUAAGGUUUAAAGUUUAGGUUUAGGGUUAGUAUUUAAGGUUUAGGGUUUAAGGUUUAGGGUAUAAUGUUUAUUAUUUUCGGAUUAGAAUUUUGAGUUUUGCGUUUAUGGUUUAGAGUUUGUGAUUUGGAGUUUAAGGUUUAGGGUUUAGUAUUUAAGAUUCCUUUUUAAUUACUUUUGUCCCCUGUAAUAUCUAUAUUUAGGGUUUAGGGUGUAUGAUUGUGGUUUAGGGUUUAAGGUUUAUGAUUUAAGAUUUUAAGGUUUAGAGUUUAGUUAAUACGGGAGAGGUUUAUGGUUUUGGAUUUAAGGUUUAGGGUAAUUUAAGAAUUAUGGUUUAGGUGUUUAGGGUAUAGAGAUUAGGGUUUAAAUUUUAUGGUCUAGGGGUUUUAAGAUUUAGGGGUUUUUGGGUGUUUAGGGUAUUAGGUUUAGGAUUUUUUGUCUAAUUAUGAAUUUCAUCCUUCUAUUUUAUAAAAAAAAAGUUAAGCUUUUUACUUUAAUUCAUUAGAAUUUAAUCUUUGUACUUUAAAAAAAUAAUUUUAAAAUAAUUAAUAGAAUUAUUAAAAUUUUAAGAUACCCAAAUUAAAUUAUUUUUUAAUAGUAGAGGAAGAAUUGUCUUCCAUCAUUGUAUUCAAUUUUAAAAUUGAACAAUUAAAUAAUGUUAUAUUAAAAAUUUUAAAAAUUUAACAAUUAAAAAUAAUGUCAUAUAUAUUAGUGUAUCAAAUUUUAAUUUUAUAAAAUUGUUAAAUAUUUUUCAAAUAUUUAACAGUAGUGGCGUUUGGACCAAAAACGCACUACACCAAAACAGACUUUUUGCGGCGCUUUUUAGCGCCAUCGCUAACUUUAGCGAUGUUUUUAGAAACAAAAGCCACUAAAGAACAAGACCUUUAGCGGCGCUUUUCCCACAAACGCCGCUAAAGACCAAAACCAUUAGCGGCGCUUCUUUCACAAACGCCGUUAAAGACCAUGACCUUUAGCGGCGCUUUUACCACAAACGCCGCUAAAGACCAAGACCAUUAGCGGCAAUUUUACCACAAACGCCGCUAAAGACAAAGACCUUUAGCGGCGCUUUUCCUACAAACGCCACUAAAGACCAUGAUCUUUAGCGGCGCUUUUCCCACAAACGCCGCUAAAGACCAUAACCUUUAGCGGCGCUUCUCGAAAAAACGCCGCUAAAAACAUAACCUUUAAAAAAAUUUAUUUUAAUCAAAUUAUAUUUAUUUUUAUGAUAAAUAUUUUAUUUUAUUUUAUUUUCUAAAUUUGAACUUUAAAUAUACUUCCUUAAAUAAAAAAAUAUUAUUUAAAUUAAAUUUUCUAUGAAAAUUUUAACUUUAAAACUAAAUAUAAAAAUUAAUGAAUUUAGUUUUAGAAUUUAAAAUAAUAAAUUAAUAACACAAUUAAAAUCCAAAAGUUAGAACUCUUAAGUAAAAAUAAAAAUUUAGAAUCAAAACUAAAAUAAAUAAUACAUAUGCAAGGUAAUAAAACAUACAAUGCAUUUUCUUAAUCAAGUAAGUCUUGGUAAUAAAAUAUAUAAUACAUUUAUUUAAUCAAGGAAAUCUUGUAAUGAACUCAAAGCAAUGAGCGUGAAACUGAAAGCAGCAGAAUUGUAAUGAACUCAAAGCAAUGAGCAUCAGAAUUGAGAAGAAAAAAAGAAUCACGAUACGCAAACGAGAUCCAGAACUUUUGUUCCUUUGGACGCCCACACUGGAUAGUCCCCGCUUCAACGCCAUUGGCUAUCAGAGCCUAAUAACAACAAUAGCAGCAGCAAAAUCACUCAUCAAAUGGUGGAAAAAGGAUAAUUACAAGUUAACAGUGAGGAGAUCACAUGAAACUGAAAGCAGCAGAUCCGUAUCGAAGCUAGUUGAAUGGAAAUCCAUGGGAAAGCAAGCAUAGAUUAAAACUUCAUAGAAUUUCUCUAAAAACUUCAUAGUAAACUGCUUCAGUCUACUUUUUAUUUUACUUGUACAACAAUUACAUGAUAUGCCAAAAUAAAAAAUAUGGGUCUGCGCCACAGAAUCCAUAAAAAACUUUAUAGAACUUUCUCUAAAAUUUUACUUGCCAAUGUUGUCAACCUUUUUUCAGGAAUUUGGAGCAUGCAGAAACCAUAUAAUUUAGCUAUCCCAUUUUACAGUGAAAGCUAGGAACACACAAGAAACAGAUGAAAAAGGAUAAAUCUAAUACCCGUAAAGCAUCAGUAACUUGGCGUCCUUGUAGCCCAUCUUUUUGCAGAGACCAUCUAUUCUCAGCAUUUUUCUUCUUUGAAAAACCCGUAAAAUAUGGGUUUUGGUGUUAAAUAAUGCGACUGCCAUCAACAUCAAGGUCGAAAUCAUAGCUUAUUCUUCCAUGUUAAGAAAAGUAUGCUAAAAAAUGAGGGUUAGAAAAUAAAAUAAUGCCUGGUUUGAAACAUACACCAUUGAUGUAAGAAUAGGGUUAGAACUCUAUGAACAUUAAGCAAAAUAGCCAAUUUAAAUUCACUUAACAACAUUAAGAAAAAUGAUACAAAUGCAAAAAAGAAAACAAUAAUAAAUAGAUACAAGACAAACAAAAGAAGAGAAGAUUAGUACUAAACCAACGUUCCCUUACCGAGAAGACAUGAUUUCUAAUCUAUGAAUUAGUGCCACAAAAUAAACAAAAAGAUCAGCGGCACAGGCACAGAACUUGCGCAUUUUUUAACUGCAAUUAAAUCCUGUUCCAUUUUGCAUGUAUAAAAAGAAAAUAUAAGCUCAAUGAGCCAAAAAAACUAAUAAAAUUUGAGCUCAACUUAACAAAAAUCGAAGUGCAACCAAACAAUGACUCUAGUUCUGACCUUAAUAAUGGCCAACUAACUAAAACUUCCUUCAUACCAAACAAAGACAGUAUAUCAAUAUUCUUCAUACCAAACAAAGACAGUAUAUCGAUAAGCUUAGUGCUAAAGGCCCGAGCAUUAGCGGUGCUUAUUCAAAAACGCCGCUAAAGGCCAGAGCAUUAGUCGCUUCUUCAAAAACGCCGCUAAAGGCCGGAGCAUUAGCGGCGCUUCUUCAAAAACGCCGCUAAAGGCCCGAGCAUUAGCGGCGCUUCGUCAAAAACGCCGCUAAAGGCCAGAGCAUUAGCGGCGCUUCUUCAAAAAUGCCGCUAAAGGCCAGAGCAUUAGCGGCGCUUCUUUAAAAAUGCCGCUAAAGGCCAGAGCAGUAGCGGCGCUUCUUCAAAAACGCCGCUAAAUGCCCCAAAAACUCAGAAAACGGUGUCAUUGGGCUUAGGCUUUUUGCGGCGCUUUUUAGAAAACGCCGCUAAUGCUUAUUUUUAGAAAACGUUUUUAUAAAAGCGCCGUUAAUGCUUGAUUUUUAGUGGCGUUUUUUGCCCAAACGCCGCUAAAAGCCUGUUUUGGUAUAGUGACGCCACAAGAAUGUCUUAAAAAUUAUACAAAACGGCGCCGUUUGGUUACAAGAAUUUAAUUUUUAGUGGCGUUUUUCUCCACAACACCGCAAAAGGUAUGCAAUAGUGGCAUUUGUUAUAAAAACGCCACAACAAUGUAUUAAAAAGUGCACAAAAACUGCGUCGUUUGCUAACAGGAUUUUAACUUUUUAGUGGCGUUUUUCUCAGAAUCACCGCAAAAACGCCGCAACAAUGUAUUAAAAAUUGUUCAGAACGGUGCCAUUUCGUUUCAGGAAAUUAAAAAUUGUUCAGAACGUCGUCGUUUUCUUCCACAUAACAAUUUUCUUCCCCUUUCCUGCACCCGGCCCCUAAUUCCCCUUCCAAAUCCCUAAUUCCCCUUCGAAAUCUCUUCCAAAUCCCUAAUUCCACUCAUUCACAGAGACGAACCUGUAGAACUAGCAUUGGUUUUAUUUUUGUUUCUUCGAUUCUUCAUUUCAUUUUUUUACUUAUUGGGAGCAUCUGUUUCGAUUUCUUCACAACAUUUAGACGAAGACAGAGUAAACGACAUUCUAUUUUUUGGGUAAGCUUGAACCAGUUUCAUUUCCUCUUUUUUUUGCGUGUUUAGGGUUUGGGUUAUUCUUGUUUGUGUGAAUUUUUGUUUUUUUCAAAGUUAUUGACCUUGAAAUCCAGUUAAUUCGUCUUUGGUUUUAGGGUUUUCGAUCCCUAAAAACGUUCGCAUUUCACACUUUUACUCGUGGAAUCUGUUCCGAAGUGAUUUAAUUUCUCUUCAUCUUCCUAAAGGUAUUGUUUUCUUCUCUCUUAAUUCUAGUUUUAGCAAUUUAGUCUAUUUAGGGUUUAAACCAUUUACUGUUACAUUUUGACAAUAAAAUGUAUGCUUUCGAAUGCCUGAAUUUAUUUUGUAUUGAAAUAUAUUUUAAAAUAUAUCGUUAGUGCAUUAUUGGUUGCUUUCUCAUGCAGAUUUUAGUCAGGCAGAGGCAGAGUAGUAGUUUUUUCUUUGCAUUUUGAUUGUAGCAAUUUAGUCGGCAAAUUUGGUAGCUCUCACUGGUUUGAAGCAAUACACAGAAAGCCUAGAUAACCAGAAGGUUAGUUAAUCCUUUAUUUUCUUUUUUUUUUUGUUUUUUAAAUUUACGUUUGAAUUUGGUAUAUUUUUAGUUGGGACUGUUUUAUUUAGGAAUUUGGUUAAUGUUGCUGCAAGUUCUUUUUUGCUGCAAGUUGUGGUUAAUGUUGCUGGUUAAUGUUGCUGCAAGUUCUUUUUUGCUCCAUUUUCUACUAAGUGUUGUAUGUUAAGAUCGGUUAUGGAAUAUAUUUGCAAUUAUUAUACAGUAUUUUGGUUUUUAAAAAUCCAAAUUGAAAUCAAAUUGAACCGAACCUUUCACUGGUUUGAAUCGGUUUGGUUCAUCGAUAAAUACAUAAUUUCUUUAAAAUUGUUUUUUUUAUAUUAAAGUUACUUUCACUCAUUUAAAUAUGAAGUUUUUAUUUUCCCACUGUGAAAGUUUUUAAUUUUUAAUUUUUGUUUGGAUAAUUUUGGUUUAUCAACUUGUGAAAUGAAUUAAUUAAAUGUUUUUAUGAAUCGAAUUUGUUUCAAGUUCAGAUUUGAUUUGGGUUUGUUGUAAUUAUAUAUUUUCAAAUGAAUAAAUAAUGCAUAAGUUUACAAAACAUAAUGUGUUAUUGCUCACGAAAACCUAAAAGAUUAUGUCUGAAUAAAGACAAAACUGCAGCUAUAGUCCAUCAACAUCAAAUUUGUGGAAGGACUUAAAGGAUUAUGCUUAAUGAAAAUGGUUGCUAUAAAAACUAUUUUUCUGAAUAAUUAUGAGUAAAUUUUUAAAAAAUCGAUCUACUCUAAAUUUAGUGUAUGGCAUAUUUUGUAAAGAUAUACGAUAAAUACACUUGUCAAUUUUUUUAAUUUCCAUUUUAAAAUUGCCGCAAAAACAAUUAAUUUCCAUUUUAAAAUUGCCUCAAAAACAACUCUUUUUUAUUAGGAUUUAAUUAAAUUGAUUUCAAUCGGCAAAGUAUGAUGAAAUUCUUACUAUCAUUAAAAAAUAGGUAAAUGUUAUGUUGUUGAGAUUUUUUAGCUUGGUUAAUAUUGGUUACGAUACUUUAAUCACCUCCAAUAUAUAUAAAAAAAAAUUAAAAAUUUGAGAAUUUAUGAAAUGAUAUAAUGUUAAUUCGUUAGCAUUAAAUAUUCUUAUUAUGUUACAAGUCAAUUAAAUUGAGGUCUUGAGCUUUGAUUUAAAUUAAAAAAGAAUAAAUUUAAACAUUAGAACGGAAAUAUCUAUAUUAUAAUAUUUGUAUCUAUUUACUAUUAUUUUAGUGUUUUAUUGAGUUGAUGUUAAUAUUUAAUAUUUUAAAUGUUUUUAAAACUUAAAAAAAAUAUAUAUCAUAACUUACAUAAUUUACAUAACUUACAUAACUUACAUAACUUAAUAACUUAUAUAUAUCAUACCAUAGCUUAAAUAACUCACAUAACUUACUUAACUUAAUAACUUAUAUAUAUCAGACCAUAACUUAAAUAACUCACAUAACUUACUUAACUUAAUAACUUAUAUAUAUCAUACCAUAACUUAAAUAACUCACAUAACUUACAUAACUUAAUAACUUAUAUAUAUAUUGUCGAAACCAUUUUUAUAAAAUUUGAAAAACGGGGAUCGACUUCGAAAAUAAAAUGGGAGUCGCCACCGAUCUUUUAUUAAGGUGUGACCGGUUCACCGUUAAAAUGAUUUUGGUCUGCGAAAUUUUGAGAAAAUAAUUUCGGGAGUCGGUUACGUACGAGGAAGGGUUAGCACCCUCGUAACGCCCAAAAUUAGUACCAAAUUGAUUGUUUAAUAUCUUAAUGUCGAAAUUUUGAAAAAAAUUUGAAAUACAAUCCUCUGAAGUUUAAAUUUGAAUAAACCAAAUUGCAUAAUAAGACGCACUUAUUUCGAAGAAAUAAAUUGCCACACUCAGUGAGUUAGGGUGCAACAGUUCAAUCUUUAAAGUUAGAUUUGUCCUUUUAGAUUUUAAAAAUUCACGUGUUUUGAGAAGGAUAUUUGGUUAGUUGGGUCAAUCAAGAAAUUGGAAUCCAAUAAGUUAGGGUUCAAUUUCUCGAGAUUCCUAAACACCAAAUAUUGCAUUUAUUUUAAAAUCGAGACAACAAGAUGUCAUAUCCAGUAAGUUAGGACCCAACAUCUUGAAAUCUCACAUGCUUUAUUUUGAAAUUGUAUGGUUUUAACAAAAUAAGCACUUGGCUAUCUAAAUUCAUCGAGAAGAAUUGAAGCCCAGUAAGUUAGGGCACAACUCACUCGAGAACCAUGAACACCAGGCCUUUUCUGAAAAUUAUGAAAUAAAAUAAUUGUAGUGCUUUGAUAAAAUACAAUUUUUACAAAUGAGACAUGAUUGAAUAGUAAUACAUAAUAUAAAAGAUAAAUAGCAACACAAACCUACACUAAGACGUAACAAGUAGGUGAUAGAUAAAUACAAAUAGCAAUAAUGAUUUUAGUGAUUUUAUACUAAUACCAACAUCAAUGUUCGAAAGCUAAACAAAUCUAUCAUCAAUUUUAAGAAUACACCAAGAUAAUAAAAAAAUGAAAAAAAUAUCCUACAUAUAAAAGUUUUAAAAUAAAUUGCACGCAUGAACUCAAAAUAAACUUGAAAUAAAAUAAUAACAACCUUGAAAAAUAGUAUAUAAAAAAAUUUAUAUAAACAUUUAGCAUAUAGAUAUACAAAAAUGAAUUUUAAGAUAUAACCUAAACAAAACAUUAAAAUGUAUACAAAUUAUACCAAAUUCUUAUAAAAAUACACAUAUUAAUAAAUAAUGAAUCAAAUAAUAACAUGUCAAGUUUGAAGAUAAAAAUAUAUAAUAGAUAUUAAAAAAAUAAUAUAUGAUAAAUUUAAAACAUAUCAAUAAUAAUUUAAAAUAAUAGCAUAUUACAUUUUAAAAUUAUACUAAUAAUAAGUUUAAAAGUAAUGUCAAACUAAAUAUUAAAAUAUGCUAUAAAUAAAUAUAUUAAAAUAAGUACUAAAUUCGAUUUAAAAUUAUACUAUUAAAAUCAAGUUAAAGUUAAGACAUAAUUUAAAUAUAAAGAAAUAAUAAUAAUAGGAUUAAAAAUGAUUUUGGAAUUCAAAUAAAAAUAAAAAUAAAAAACUACAAAUAGAAAUAAAAAAGAAAAAAUAAAGAUAAACUAAAUUGGUAAUCGACUUAAAAAAUGAGGGACUAAAAUUGUAAUUAAACGCAUGACCUGGGCAUUCAAUCCUAAUAAUGAAAACGACACCGCAUAACUAUGGAUCAAAUUGAAAAAAAAAUAAAAUACGCGAUUCAAAAAAAAAUGAAGAAAAUCAAAUCGAAACAUCACAAAACAAGAGGGACUCGUCGUGCAAAUAGACUAAUGAACAGAGACGCGUGAAUCCUGCCCUGGGUCGGGUCACUACGCUGGUCUGAGCCUCUAAAUGGCGUCGUAUCGUGGCCACUGCACAGGCUCUGAACGACGUCGUUUCUUUCACUACUUAUAACUAGAACCCUAGAGCAAUCAGCAAUUUAUUUUAUUUAAAAUAAAACCUAAAAGAUUUGCUUGUUGUUUUCGGUGCCGUUCUGUAAUGCAGUCGUUCGAAAAGGAACUUCGAAUCCUUACGCAAACUCCGAUUGCGACGGAGAGAACCAGGAUUCGGCGGCCAGGUAAGUUCUCUUCUAACUCCUCCUUUUUAAAAAGAAAAGAAAAAAAAACUAACAAAGAUGGAUCCCCUCGCCGCAUCUGUGGAUCGACUGCUCAGGGGAUCCUCAGCCUCGUCCGACCCCGAUUGCGAUAGAGCGAACGGAGACCAGGUAAGCCUCUCAUUUCCUUUCUCUCUUCUAUUUUAGUACUAAUCAAUGAACAAAGGAGCAGAGAAAAAAAGAAAAAGCAAAAAGAUUAACAAUCACCUUUCGAACUUUUCGAUUUCUUCGAAUGAAUUUUUUUUGUAUACAAUAUGCGUGUGUGAUUUUUUUUGUCUCUGUGUCCUUUACAAAGGCCUUGCCUUUUUGUUUUAUAGGCCGAAAGAAAAAAUAAAUAAAAAGAAUCCAUUUUUUUUGUUUUCUCUGCUGCGUUUUCUUCCCAUUUGCAGGUACGGCGUGCGGGGCUGGGGACGUGGCAUGUACGGAGGCGCGCGCGAGGGCAAAGGCUCAGAACGUACGGAGGUUGGUCACAUGUGGACAAGAGGAGCUGCUGCGGCGCUGGGGUUUGCCCUAGGGUUGCUAUGUAUUUUUUUUGUUGGGCCGCUUCGUCAUUGGGCUAGGGUUUUAGAAAUUUAGGUUGGGUCUGGGUUGAAUUUGGGUUGUGAUAUUGGGCUUAGUGGGUCUGAUGUAUUUUGGGUUUGUAAUAUGGACUGAUGGACUUUUAAUAAUUUUGUUUUUAUUUAUAUUUUUGUUUAUUUAUUUAUUUUUGAUUUGGGCCGGGCAAAUUUGGAUUAUUACAUAUAUUAUACCAUAACUUAAAUAACUCACAUAACUUACUUAACUUAAUAACUUAUAUAUAUCAUACAAUAACUUAAAUAACUCACAUAACUUACUUAACUUAAUAACUUAUAUAUAUCAUACCAUAACUUAAAAUAACUCACAUAACUUAACUUAAUAACUUAUAUAUAUCAUAACAUAAUUUACAUAACUCACAUAACUUACAUAACUUAAUAACUUAUAUAUAUCAUAUCAUAACUUACAUAACUCACAGAACUUACAUAACUUGCAUAAUACAUAAAUAUAUAUCAUAUCAUAACUUACAUAACUUAAUUAUACUUAUAAAUAACCAUGACUACCCGUGUAAUUUAUUGUCAACUUUAGACUUCAAGAACAACGAAAUGGACCGGUCUUGGAUGAAUUUGUCAAGGGUAAGCAACGACUAUCGAAAUGGAGUACAAAUUUUCCUAAAUUUUGUAUUCCAAAAUACAAGCCAAGAGAAUAUGAUUCUUUGCCCGUAUAAGAAGUGUGGCAACAUCAAUUGGCAUUUUCGUGAAGUUGUCUAUAAGCAUCUAAUUGUCGAUGGGUUUCUUCGAGGGUAUAAAGAAUGGAUUUUCCAUGGAGAAUGCACACCUAGUACUUCCUUUUCAACGAUUAAUCCGGCUUAUCCUCGUAGUGCUUACCAUCGGUCUGUCAGAGAAGAUGACAUGGAAGGUAUGUUGCGGGAUGCAUUUAAUAUACGCAAUCAUGGUUUGCAAUCAUUUUCACCCGACUUUGUUGCAUCCGAUGAUUGUAAUAUCGGUAGAAAUGCUUUUACCCAAACGGGAAGAAGUAUACCUGAUGAAGAGCCAAAUGGAGAAGUGGCAAAGUUCUACACGCUACUUAAUGAAAUGAAUGAAGAACUUUAUGAGGGAUCAAAAUUUUCAAAAAUGUCCUUCUGUAUUCGUCUUUUUCAGUUAAAGUGUUUGGGAGGGUAGACCGGAAACUCUUUGACAAUGCUGUUAAAGUUUUUGAGAGAGAUGUUUCUGUUUGUAAAAAUCCCUCAUUCAUGCAAAGAUAUGAAGAAACUGAUAAAAGAUUUAGGCCUUGGGUACGACAAAAUUCAUAGUUGCCCAAAUAACUGCAUGUUGUAUUAGGGUGAUCGGAAAAACCAGCAGUGUUGUCAUGUAUGCGGCCAAUCCCGUUGGAUGAAUAGAAACACAGAAAAUGGGAAUGACGAUGAAAAUGAUGCACAGUCAAGAAAGAAGCUAAUUAAGAUUUUGCGAUAUUUUCCGCUAAUACUAAGGCUUCAAAGGCUUUUCAUGUCGUCGAAGAUAGCCGAGUCUAUGACGUGGCACCAUGAUGGACGAACCAAUGAUGGAUUAUUAAGGAAUCCGGCGGAUUCUUUAGCUUGGAAAUCAUUUGACAGUAAAUUUUCAAGCUUUACAAGCGAUCCUAGGACUGUGAGACUUGGGCUAGCAACUGAUGGAUUUAAUCCUUACAAAAUCAUGAGCACUUCGUACAGUACUUGGCCAGUAGUGCUUGUUCCUUACAAUUUGCCUCCAUGGAUUUGUAUGAAGCAAUCUUCCUUUAUCUUAUCUAUGAUUAUCCCUGGAAAGAAAGGUCCCGAAAAUGAUAUUGACAUUUAUUUGCAGUCACUUAUUGAAGAGUUAAAACAAUUAUGGGCUGGUGUUGAGACAUAUGAUGUACUGAUAAAGGAGAACUUUAAUUUACGUGCAGCUUUGAUGUGGACUAUUAAUGACUUCUUGGCUUAUGCCAAUUUAUCUGGUUGGAGUACCAAGGGACGUUAUGCUUGCCCUUGUUGUGCUGCGCAAACAUGUUCGUAAUGGUUAUAUAAUGGGAAGAAGUACUCUUACAUAGGGCAUCUUCGGUGAUUACCGUGAAAUCAUAGAUUUAGAUUUUAGAGUACUCUGUUUGACGGUACUGAAAAGUUCAGAGAAGCUCCUUCGCAGACCGAUGGAUCUGAAAUCUUGUUCAUGUUGAAAGAUAUGAAUUUCAGUUAUGGGAAGAUGAACCAACCACCUAACACGCAAAGAAAUAGAAGAUUAAGAGAUGAAUCUGAUGAUGAAUCUGAUGAAGAGGAUGAUCCUAAUGAGGCGGACUUGUGGAAAAAAAGAAGUAUUUUUUUGAGUUGCCUUAUUGGGAGCACACAUUUUACGACACAAUAUUGAAGUCAUGCACAUUAAGAAAAAUGUCUGCGAGAACAUUAUUGGGACAAUUUUGAAUGUCGAUGGAAAAUCGAAAGACAAUCUUCAGAGUCAACUUGAUUUAGUCCACAUGGGAAUUCGGCGUGAUCUUCAUCCCCAAGCACUUCCGAAUGGGAAAUAUCGGUUGUCGCCUUCUAUUUUUUCAAUGUCGAAGACGAAGAAAGAAGUGUUCUGCAUGGUGUUGAAGGAUAUGGUCUCAGAUGCGUAUGCAUUAAAUAUAUCUCGAUGUGUGAGUAUUAAAGAUCAAAGACUAUAUGCCUUAAAAUCACAUGACUAUCACAUCUUGAUGCAAGAUUUACUGCCAGUUGCUAUGCGGUGUUGUAUGUCAAAAAAGGUGACGUCUGGUAUAAUUGAACUAUCCAAUAUAAUGAAAGCCAUUUGUGGCAAAGUUUUGGAUGUUCAAGAACUUGAGACACUACAAGAUCGAGCCGCAUUGACUUUAUGCAAUUUGGAGAAGAUCUUCCCACCUUCUUUCUUUACUAUUAUGGUGCACUUGGUAAUCUAUCUCCCUCAUGAAACAAUACUUGGUGGACUCGUUUUCUAUCGAUGGAUGUAUCCCAUAGAAAUGUGUUAAUUUAUUUGUAAAUUAUUCAUUCAUUCACCUAUAUUCCUUUAGUUACCACUUUUGAUAAUGUUGUAUAUCGUGUUUAGGUUCCUAUCCAAAUUGAAGUCUUAUUGUCGCAAUAAGCGUUAUCCAGAAGACUCAAUUGCUGAAGGCUACUUGGCUGAGGAGUGUAUGACUUUCUGUUCUAGAUAUUUGGAAGAUGUUGAAACAAGAAUGAACAAACCAAGUAGAAAUGAUGGGCUCACUGAUCAUAACUUGGCCAAAACUUAUUUAUUUUAAAGUUAUAGAGAACCAAUCAGCAAAGUUGAAAUUUCAGAAUUAGAUGAUAGAUCGUGGCUACAAGCACAUCGAUAUGGUCUUUUUCACCACGAUUCAAUGGAACCAUUACACAAGUAAGUUCUAGAAUUUGAUAAAUAUUCAUCAAUUACAAUUUGUUUAUCUUCUAACAAAGUAAACAUCUUUUUAGCAUAGUGAGUACAAACAAAUCUUGAGAUCUCGUCUACGCUCCCGAAGAUUACAACAUCGAGAGAUUAAUAAGUUAGUCACAAAAUCUUUUCAUAAAUGGUUAAGCCAAACAGUAUGCAAUUGAAGCUUUCAUUGACAAAUAAUAAUGUUUUCUCAUAAAAUUUAUAAUUACUCAAUUUACUUUCGAUUCAAUAGGUUUGGAGUGGGAAGGACGUCAAUGACGAAGUUAAAUGGCUUUCCCAAGGUCCGAAUAGAGUAGUAAAAAGAUAUAGUGCCUUCCUCAUCAAUGGAUUCCGACUUCAUGCAAAAUAUCGGGAGAGAUUAAGGAGAACUCAAAAUUGUGGAAUAGUUGUUAAUUCUUCAAUUACAAGUUAUGCUAGUGCAAGGGACAGUAAUCCUGUUGAGGGUAAUGUGGAGUAUUACGGACUUCUUACUGAUAUUAUUGAGUUGGAUUACUAUGGCAAAUAGAAAGUUGUCUUAUUUCGAUGUGAUUGGGCUAAUGUUAAUAUUGCUCGUGGAAUUAAACAAGAUCAAUUUGGUUUUACAAUGGUGAACUUCUCUCGAUUGAUUCACAUUGGACAAUAAUUGAUAAAUGAGCCGUAUGUAUUUUCUUCUUAAGUGAAACAAGUUUUUUACUCAAAAGAUCCAACUGAUGAGGGUUGGUACGUUGUACUCCGUAACAUCCCUAGAGACUUGUUUGACAUGGGAAAUGGAAGUAGAGAUGACAUCGACGGCAGAUCAGAAACUUUACCUUUUUCAGAACAAAACUUAAAUGAAAAUAUCCCUAGUACUAGUACACAAUUUCAAUGGGUUCGUCAGGAUGUUGAUGAAGAUAUUUACGAAUUAUGAUGUAGUAAGAUUUUACGAUUUUUUAAUUAUAUGUAAUAUUAUAAUUUAAAUAUUGGUUUUAUUAAAUAUUUCAACUAUUUUAUAUGUGCUGUUAUUGUUCUAAUUAGUUACUAAAAUUUCAACUAUUUUACGUGUAUUGCAGAUAAAAUGCCUAGAAGAAGAUUGUGAGAUCUAAGUAUUGUUCAAAAUACUCCAAACUCGGAAGAAACAAAUAGUGAACAACAGACUGCUAUUGGAUCUUCGAAUGUUCCGAAUACACCUAAUGAACUUGCAGAAUUUCAAAGUAUGUUUAAAUUUAAUUUACAUACGUGAUGACUUUUAUUAUUGAUUUCUUUUUCAAAUUCUUAUAUUAUAAUAUAUCAUUUUUCAGCUGAAAGUGUGGGACGCGCAAAGGUCGAGGACAUACACUACUUAAAGAUUUAUACGAGUUAGAUCCUGUCGAGCGUGUCAAAGUAUGUAGAAACAGUUUUGGUCAGCCUGUUGGAUCAGAAGCUCGGCUUUUAGCAGAUAUUUGGGCAUUAUAGCACGAAAUGUCAAUAUGUCGCCUAUCAACUACGAGUCAUGGCAUCAAAUGCCAAUAUUAAGGUAACAAAACCUUAAUGUAAUUUAUAAUACUUUGGUUUAAGUUUCAUUUAUAUUACUUUCUAAACUUGUGUUUUUUGUAGGCGAGGUUUGCUUUAGAGGUCUCGGAUAAUUAUGUCAAGAAGGCAUUGGGAAAAAGGUGGAGAGACCAUAAAAUUACUUUAAAGAAAGAAGAUUUUAAGACAAAAACAACCCUCGAAGAGAAAUUGCGAAAUGUCCCGCCGGGAAUACUGAGGUACCAAUAGGAAGAUGCGGUUAGAUUUUGGAAUUCAAAGAAAUGAGAGGUAUUACGUACUUCCAAACUCUUAUAACUAUUUUGGUUUAUAGUAUUUACUAUAUACGUAAUAAUAAUUUCAUAAUGUAGGAUCGUGAACGAGUUGGAACAAGCAGCAGGCAAAAACAGAAAUUCUCUCACACAACUGGGUCGAAAAGUUUUGUUUGUGCAGAUGAGGCCGAUGUUUUUUGAAUUUAUUAAUAGUGUAAAAUAUUUAUUACUUUCCAUUAAAUAAUAUUUUUACUACUAUAUUGUAGGAACUGUCGUCUGGUCAAAAAGUUAGACGCCUUCAACUUUUUGACAUUACACAUGGGAAGAAUGAUGGAUCUCCUAUGACUUCUGAAGCUGCAGAAAUUAUGGUAUGUUUAGUUAAUAAAAUUUUAAUUAUUUUAAAUAUUUAUAGUGUUUAAUUAUAAUGGUUUAAUUCGUCGUUUGUAAUGCAAAUAAUGUUUAAGUUAUGUUGCAUUUGUUUUUAUUAUAUAUUUCGUUUCUAACUCUUUGAUUAAUUUAUAAGGAGAAACUAAAGGAUAAAAAGGCAGAGUAUGAAGCAAUUGCUUCGAGGAUAGUUUUGUUAAUGUUCACGACAUUGAUAAUCGGAUUAUUACUGAAUUUUUGGGUCCUGAAGGGUAUGGUCGGGUUCGAUUUCAAGGAUCUUUUGUUAACCCAACUCAAUAUUUUGGAUCCAGCUCGCAGCAAUACAUGCUUUCGGGGAGUCAAGCUCAAGUUGAAAUUCAGAGGUUAAGAGACCAGAUGACUUAGAUGCAAGCGAGCACAAUUGAGCAAAUUACUCAACUUAAAGCGAAUGCAGCAUCGAGAGAAGCUGAGGUUCAAAGAAAAAAUGAAAAACUCCAGCUACAACUUAAAGAAGAGGCAGCAGCGAGGGAAGCAGAGCAGAGCAGAAAGUACGAUGCACUCCAACUGCAGCUUCAGAAUAUGAUGAAGAUGUUUCAGCAGUCGCAAAAUCUGCCAUCUUAGACUAUUGUAUGAAUAUUUUUAACAUUUUAACUUUUAACAUUAUUGUAUUAUACUUCAUUUAUCAAUUUAUAUCAUAUAUCAUUCGUUGAAUUUGAAGUAGCAUUUAGGUUGCUGUUUUUGGUUGGUUUCUAUGUUACAGGAAGGGUUGCAUAUGGAUGAAAAUUGGAUGUUAGAAAUCUGCCAAAAUUAGUGGCGUUUUCAAUAAAAGCGCCGCUAAAGAAUAUGACAUUUAGCGUCGUUUUCUAUAAAAGCGCCGCUAAAGAACAUGACCUUUAGCGGCGUUUCUUAUAAAAGCCCAGCUAAAGAAUAUGACAUUUAGCGGCGUUUGCUAUAAAGGCGCCGCUAAAGAACAUGACCUUUAACGGCGUUUGCUAUAAAAGCGGCGAUAAAGAACAUGACAUUUAGUGGCGCUUAUCUUUAAACGCCGUUAGAGGUCAUAAUCCUUAGUGGCGUUUGUGGUAAAAGCGCCGCUAAAGAUCAUGUUCUUUAGCGGCAUUUAUGUGAGAAAAAAGCCACAAAAAAUAACGACAUGGUCUAUAGCGGCAUUUUUUGCGGCUCUUGUGAAAGCGCCGCAAAUACUUUUAGCGGCGCUUAUAGGCCUAAAAAAUGCCGCUAAAAGCCUAUUUUGUUGUACUGUUAGUUUGUUAAGUUUACUCUGGAUUAUACCAAUUUUUAUUUUAUUUAUACUUAUAAUUGUUUGAUUCUAUUUUAUGAUUACUCGAAUAAUUUUUAUUGUAAUAAUUUAAUAUUUAUAAUCACUCAAACAUAUAUUUAUAUUGUAGUUUAAAUACUUAAAAAAUUCUUAUUGUAACUGCCCAUUAACUUGUCCUUGGAAUUCUUUUUUCAAAUCAAAAUUUGCUACCCUCUUCCUGUUCCAACCGCAUAUAUAUAUAGGUAAUUCCUUUUCUAUUUUCUUUUUCUUUUUCUUUUUAUUAUAUUAAUAAAUUCUAAAUAAACUAAAUAUUAUAUAUAUAUAAUACAAGCUCAAUUCAACAACUUAUAUUUACUGGUUUAGAUAAUAUAGUUGAUAAGUUUUAACCAAAACACCCACCUGAGAAAUUUUUGUCAAAAUGUACCUUAAAUUUUCACAAAAAAUAAAUCAAAUAACGGGAGGAUGAAAAUGAAUUUAGGUUAGAAUAAAUUUAAAUAUAAUCGACUCAUUAUUUAAGUAUUGUUGUAGGAAUUAGAUCGGAUCAACUGAUUGGACUAAAAAUUGAUUGGUAUAUUGAUCCAAACAAAAAAAUUCAGUCAUAUUUUUUAGCACAAUUGAACUGGGGCAGAAAUCGAUUGUUUUUAUAUUUUUAUAAUUUUAUGACUUAAUAAUUUAUUUAAUUAAAACCAAAAAUCGAUGUUAAAAUCAUAGAUUUAAGUACUUAUGACAUCAUGUUCUCAAAAACUCAAACCUUUAUCAACAUAUAGAAUCGAAUCGAAUAGCGUUUUCACCUCCCAAGUUUCUAUACAUAAACUAUGAACACGGAAUUAAACAAUACAAAAAUGGUAUUCUUCUUCCACUGACAUUUGAUAUCAGCUUCAGAAAAGGCAAAAGACAAGAAUAAAGAGAUAAAACAAAAGAUUAAAUCAAUCCUAUAUCCUUGACUGACAUCAUUUACCUUAAAAACUCUAUAUUUUAACCAAUCCCACCUAUAUGAUUUUUCUGUUUUCCUAUACAUAAAUUAAAGCUUACUUGGAACCAAGUCAUUGUAUUGUAUUUCACGAAAUUGUUUGAAGCAGAUCCUCAUCUCCUCCAUCUGCAUUGAAGGAAUAGAUGUCGACCGGGGCCAUCGUGCAACCCAUGGCGUUCUGCUUGGUUCUUUUAUUACGGGAGGAGCCUCGGUGUUUGUCUAGAUAGAUUACAAUCACGGUGAUAUCAUCGUGAAAAUGGCGCCUUAUCCCCUUUUCGAUUUUCUUGAUGUCACUGUAUCUCAUCUCCCUUUUCUUUGCAACUUCUUGAAUUGCAGCUCUUACCAAUCUCUUGGCAAUACCCUGCAAGCAUUCAAGCAAACAAAUAUCAAUACCGAAAUGCGUUGCAUUUCCAUACGUUUCAUUAGGUUAAUGGAAGAACACGAAUACUCACGGCUCUCGGGUUUUUGAAAACGAUGUUUACAGCAGCUUCAUCACUCAACUGCUCCCAUAGGCCGUCUGAUGCAAAGAUGAGGAAUUGAUCCUGGGGCUUCAGCUUUCUAAUAAGGAUCGAGGGUUCUGCUGUAAUAACCGGCCUUUUAAGAGGAACGGGGUUUCCGAACUGCUGGAAGAUCGGAUCUCUAUAAAACUCAGGUUUCUUCAGGUAAACAUCACCUAUAGAUCUUGACACCUGAAAUAAGACAAACAAAAAUGGCUCAGACCGGCAUGACCACUCACAUGCUCAAAGAUCAUGUAUUAAUCAAUCAUCUCCAGUUCUAUAAUCCAAUGUACGAUAAAAGCUAAUGCAUCUUAUUCUCUCGAUACUGAACGGAUCGAAGUAUAAAGCUCAACUUGCCUACUAAAGUAAAGGGGAACAACAUCACAAAAAGAGAAGAAAAACAUAAAAACGAGAGAUUCCCUGCAGUUACAUAAGCCUAGCUUUAUGCUUCAGGGGCCUGCAUUUGUCCAUCUCAUGCAUACAACGCAUACUAUAUGGAAAAUAGCAGCAUGAAACAGUACUGGAAAUCAGACCAAAAUAUUCUUGGAAAAGUCGAAAAACUCAGAAUUAUAACCAUUUUUUAGAAUGAACUUUCAUUCUAAUGCACAAUGUAUACAUCCAUAAUUAAAUUAUACCUCUCCAUCAAGCAAAAAGAAACAAAUGGGUUGCAAGCAAUGCCUACGAAGAGGAAGUUAAUUGGCAACUAUUUCUAGAAUCAACACAUUGAUCAUUCCUCAAGCAGACUAGUUUUGAACUAAACGAUUAUAAAUCAACUUGUCAAUAAAAUUGUACCUGGAUUAUGCCCUUAAUCCUCCAAACUCCGCGGGUGUAAACCACUAUAUGUGAGUCAUCUGGAUGAAGUUCCUCGACCUCCUUUCGAACUUCCUCAACUCCAACAUUAUGAUCAGUUGACAACCUCUCUGCCACUACUGUGUUUUCCUUAUCCCCCGAAGCUUUCCUGCCAAGAACAGCUCUCGAGUCACCAAGAUUUGCCACGUAUAACACAUCAUUCGAAAUUGCACCAACUAGACAGCAUGAUCCAACCGAAGCAAUUUGAGGCCUCACAGGCAAUGAUCGCUUCACCAAACGCAAAAACUCCUCUUCAGUGGCAUUGAAUGCCUUCUUUAUCACAUCUGCAGAUAAUCCCCCUUGUUCUGUAGCAAAUUCUACAAUGAAUAAAGGAAAAAAAAUUUAAGGGUCUCCAUCAAUCUUUUUUAGAAUCCAAGUGCAUGCUUAUCACUGAAAAGGAUGCAAAACAAAGAAAAAUAAAUGACCUGAAAAAUGCCAAAACUUGAACUACACUUACUAAUUAUUCUGAAAAAUUCAAGUCCAAACAACCCCAAGUAGAUACAAAUUUAGACAAAUAGUUCAUAUUCUCUUUUCCCAUCAAAACAGACAUAGUACUACAUGACUAUGGAGCGGGGCAAGAUAGAUAUUGUCAAAUUCAUUACUGUUCCAUUGUUGGCAUGAUCUGCCUCGACCCCACUCUGCUUCGCCGAAAAUGUUAAAACUUGAAUAUCAUUACUUUUAAUAUGCAUAAUCUAUCAAUACCUCACCUAAUAUAUACAUUUUUACUCGUUUUAAAAGCUAAAUAUAUAAGAAUAAGGCAAAUAUCAAAAUUAAGUGCCCCAUAGGUCCCUCUUUUACUGUUAAAAAUUAGAAAAAGAAAGUCUAUUUGGAGUUAUCAGUUCGAAAUCUAUCAAACUAAAUACAUAUUUGAUGAUUCCAUAGACAGCUUAUGAUUUUCCUGACAAGGUCAUAUCCAUAUACAUACAUGAUCACAUGUUCAUACAUACAUACAUACAUACAUACAGAAAAAGGAAUGUUGCAAUAAAGAGGGAAAAAGGGAAUUACUGUGGAGAAAAGGGAAGAGAUGUUUGUUAACAAAACGGGAAGCUUCGGGACCGCCAUGACCAUCGUAGACGCCAACGUAGGUAGCAAAAGGAGAGGCGAAGACUUGGCUUUGAUCUUCGAGGCAGUUGUUAGCCUGCACGACGGCGAUGGAGAAAUCACCGGAAGCGUGGGGUUUAAGGUCAGCGUGCCACAUGAGAGCAUCCCCACCAGCUCUAACGCCAAGACAACGUUCGAGCGGCCUGGAAAGGGACCGUAACAUCAUCAUCAUCGUGUUUAAAAAAUAAUAAUAAUCCCUUUAUAGGGAAUUUGAUUAAAUGAAAACCUCUUCGAUGGUUUCAAUGGGGGGUUUCACUUUGGGGGAAGAGGAAAAUGGAAAGAUAUUAAGAGGGAAAGAUAGAGUAGAGAGUGGGGUAAAGUGAAUGGAAAAGAAAUGCCGCGUAAAGAGAGGAAGAUGAUGAUGACCAACGACCCCCGAUACUUGCUGUAAUUACUUCCCACUCUACGCGUUAACUAAUACCCUUUUUCUUCUUUUUUGACUUUUAAACCCAAAUCCUUUUUUUAUUUUUUUUUAUUGAAUGGAGAAGGUUAGGUCUAAUCUAAUAUUUCAAUUUUUAAAGAAUCGGAUCGGUGAUUGAAUUAUUCUCGAUUUAAUCGGUUCAUUUAGUUUAACUUAGAUUUGUUCAGGUGGUUCGAUUUGAAGAUUUGUUCAAAAGAGAAGAGAGUUUUGGUAAAAUAUAAGCUUAAAAAAUAAAUUUUAAUAAAAAAAUAAGGUACAUUUUUUAAAUGGGUCCAGUCUCAAUAUUUUUUUGUUCGGGCCCAAUCAGACUUGGCUCGAAUUUACCAAAAAAAUUGUUAUGCUUUGUCACUAUUUUACUGUUAUUUCGCUAUUAUAUUGCUAUUAUUUUAUUAUUUUUGUUUAGAUAUUAUAUAACUAUUUUUUUAUUAUUGAUUUUGCUACUAUUUUAGAAGCAUAUUCUUGCUAAGUUGCACAUAUCUUAGUGUUAGUUAAGUAUAAAUAUUUUUUAAAAUUUUAUUUUUAAUAUAAAUAUUUUUUAAAAAUUUAUUUUCAAUUUAUUGGGAAACAUUUAUUUUAAUGUUUUUAGUCUAUUUAAUGUAUUAUAUUUUUUAGAUUUGUUUUUAUAUAAAAAUAAAAAUAUAAAAAAUUUAAUACGAGCAAGUUGGGUUAGGCAUAGGUUUUAGCGUUUUUAUCCAGGUCAAGCUUAGGUAAAAUUUUAGGCCAAUUUUUCGAGUCAGACUCAGGCCUAGGAAAUAGGCCUAAAAUUUUACCUCAGGCCAGCUGACCCAUGGAUAGCUCUAGUUCAGCCCCUUUGUCCGAAUUGAUAUAUCAAUCGAUUUAUUGGUUCAACUAGUUCGAUUAGCUGAUUUUAUUUGAUUCAAAAACACUAAGGGUUAUUUCAAGUUUAACUUAAUUUGUAUUUGUGCCGGUAGUUUGAAUUGUUUUGAUUUUAAAUCAUUCAAAUUCGACACUUAAUUUUUUGAGUCUAAUCGUUUUGGGUCUAUUUCAAAUUAUAAUUUUAUAAAAAGAAAUUGAAUUGAAUAACAUUUAAUGUUUUGAGUUCAAAUUCAAAUCAAUGUUAUUAAAUUGGGUCACAAUUAAUAGGCGUACUAGAAUUUAAUUACAAAUAUAUAUCCAUAAGAUAAAACCAAAAAUAAAGGAUUAACAUCUGACAAAGGACUGACAAUGCAUUGUACACAAAGUUAUCCACAAAUUUAAUUAGACACAAAACAAGAUAAACCUUACUAAAUGUAUGUAUAUAUGAUUAAAAUAGAGGGGUAACGUGAAUUCCGUAGGUUAACCUAACGAUUAAGAUACUCAUCGUUUCAAGUGUGAUUUGGGAUUGAGUCGGGUUAAUCACACCCUUAAUAGGGAUUUACCCUCUUCUAGAAAAUGGAGGACUAAAGUUUGAAAUCUUAUUUAGUAUUCACAGCCAUGAUUAAUUCUCUUUAUGAUCUCCACCCAUACAAUAAAUGUGAAAGGGGUAGCAGUAUAAAUAACAUGUCUUUAUAGGGGGCCGCCAUUCAAGAAUAUAUUACUUCCUCUGAACCUGACAGUGAGGCAUGGAUAGCAACUUACAUAGCACAUGUAUCAAAUUCAACACUAAAAUUAAACUCAUUUACCAAAUUGAAAUUUAAAAAGAAAAACUCAAAUAGAAGUACCGAAAAAUAUUCAUAAACCUUUUCCUUUGUUUUUGCACCCGUCAAAAUUCCAAGACUUACAUAUCUCUAAUUAAGAGCAUCAUCAUUUACAAAAAUUAAAAAAUUAAUCCCUCUACUUUAAUUUGUUAUAAUUUGACCCACGUAAGUUAUAACAACCGAAAAGUUAAUCUAAUUAAGUAAUAUUGUUAAACCUUAUUAUUGGAUUGUUUAUUUGAAAACCAGUAAUUUAACAACUUAUAUGCAACAAAUUAACAAAACUCAUUUGUUCAUGUUCAUGUUUUGAAUAACACCUGGACUAACUUUCCAAUUUCCAUAAGCUACAAUGACUAAAUUUUGACAAAUUAAAGUAGAGGGACCAACUUAUCAAUUUUCAUAAAGUAGGGGAUGAAAAUCAUAAUUAGACCAUGUAUAUGUUCUAUCGCGUGAGUUGGGGAUUGUUUUAUAGUAUACUUCUACAGUAAGGACAGUCCCCACACGUUCUGAGCCAAGGAUCUAAGCAAGCAAAGUGAAACCUGUGCCCACACGGCAGCUGAGUAAGCACAUCUCCUUCUCCGAAGCUUUCAAGGCAUAUACUGCAAUCUCUUGAUUCCCUUGAUGUCUUUCUUUCAACAUUGACGUCUUGGCUGCCGAAAAUUUCCAGUGGCAAACGGUCCAGAGCCUCCUGAGUAAGUCCAGGAGGCUUCUUGUUUGUUUCUCGUAACAAUUCGAACCUUUCUGCUUCAGAGGUUAAUGGGGAACCCCUAGCUGCCAACCCUGUAGAGAGUUCACUUAUGAUCCUAAAAUCAUCGCCCGUUACAUGCUCCCGGUGGUAAGCAUUAGGUGGAGCUCUAUUGCUUCGCCUGAAGAAAACAACAGGAAGAAACCGUAAUGAGAAGGAAAAGAAAAGAUGUACAAAAUGUUUAAAUAGCGGUUAAUGCAAGACCUAACAUAUAUGUGUCCAUUAUUGAAUGCCACACCAAGUAAAAUUCAGGAUCGAGUGGUCCACAUGCUUCUCUCAAGCAGUAGAUGGUAGUUAGGAAACGAGUAACACCAAUUCGCUGUGUACAUGAAGUGGUAGCAAAAGUGGUCUGGCUAGUCAUAGUGGCUAAUGAUGUUACUACUUAGAACCUAUGUUACUCAGACUCGGGCAUGGGUUUCAGAUAUGGAUAUGUAUCCAAUACAGGUAUGAUUACUUUUUCUAAGUUUUUCCAUAUAUUUAGAAGAUCCUUGGAGGUCAUAUCCUCGUAUUUGUGUGUCGGACACGAGUGAAAUGAAGAGUCCAAGCAACAUAGCUUAGAAAAACUAAUAUUACCAUAGAAUAGGAAGCACCAGCAAUGGGACUGGACCAUAUUGAUAGUUAGCAAUGCGAGAACAACAGGCACUAAUGGGCAGAAAGCACCAAUAACAGCAGUGGGCCUGGAAAUUAAGGUACUACUGGUAGGUAAGGAGUGACGAAAGCAAUAUCAGCUUGAAUGUAUUAGCAGAAGUGGGACAGAAAUUUCAAGCAUAAAAACAUAAAUUCAAUCUAUUCAAGAAUAUAUAAAUAUAUAGAGAGAGAGACUAAAUUCAACUUAAACGAUGAGACUAAAUUCAACUUAAACAUUUUCAAGGAAAAAAGAAAAAGCCUGCCAAAACAUGAUGAUUAUGUUAGGCAAUUCCAUAGAAGAAAGUUCAAAUUCACUAGUGACAACCCACCCGACUGACCAGCUGAAAAGUCCAUGGUAAGUUAGAAAAUAGUUUGGACUGAGUGAAAUUAGUCUCAACAUUAACUGACUACAACCCCUAACAGCUCUAUCAUAUGAUACGGUAUCUCUAUUCUUACGGCUAAACCAAGUCAGACUCCUAGUGCCCCUAAUACAAUACUACAUAUUUAUCAUUUGGAUUCACUAAUAAUAAGGUAGCACAAUGAACUGCAAGGCACUGAAUCUUCCUACAGGUUACGAUGCAAAUUGCUCAUAUGAUAGACACUUCUUUUGAUCAUAUUGCACCCUCAACAGAUCCACAAAAUCAAAGUUCAAGAGCAAAAUCAUUCUGAAUUUAGGUAAAACUUUCACAGACACAGAGUUCCACAUGAUUUGUCUAUCCUAUCAUCAAACUUCAGAAAUAAGUAAUAGAGAAGAGAUGUGCUGUGCUGUCUUUAAAAAAUGAAAUUUGUGACAGACCAAGAAUAGUGGAUAAAUUUGGUCCAACUAGAGUAGCAAAACAAAUUGAGUGCCACAGGCAAGUUCACCAUCAAUGAUAAAAGUGGCUUCCAAUUGGUGUCAAAGAUCAUGCAGAUAAGAAAGAACAUGAUUCAAUAGCUAUUAUAAUUUACUUGUUCUUGCAGUUUGACCAGUAAUAAUGCUGUACAUAAUACAUGGACAAGAAAUGCAAAUACUAAGAGUUGCAAAUUUGCAGAGAGCUCUAGGUAACCUGUUUGCAGAAACAGACACGCCUCUUAGUCUUUCAACAAGCCUUGCUCUUGCAAGCAGCACAGCUCCGGGAAGCCUUUCAUUUGCUCUCAAACUUUGCCUGCUUGAACUGCUAACACCAUCUGCAUUUAAUCCAUAGCUCGAACUGAGCUCGCCAGUACCUUCAUCAAACCCUUCUCUAGCAAGCCUCUCACUUGAUCUCAAACUUUGCCUUCUUGCAUUGCUUACACCGACUGCAUUUAACCCAUUGCUCGAUACAAGCUCGCUGGUACCUUCAUCAAACCGCACUGAUGAACGCUCCUGAAAAAGUAAUAUCCAAAUAUAAGCUAUUCAGGCGAGGAGAAAUAAAUUACAUAGAGGAAGUAAUAAUAUCAAACUUACUUGUUUAUUCUUGUAUAUGUGGCAAAAUCUUACUGCAAGUGAGCUUAGGCUUUGCUUGGUACCAAAGACGGAAACAUGGAAAAUUUGUUCAUCAAAUGUUAAGAUUCAUAUCCACCUUAUUACUUUGUAACUUAACCAUCAGAUAAACAAUUUUCCAAUUCACUCCUUUCCAUCCUUCAUAACAAGCAGAGCCUUAGGGUUUAGAAAAUUGUCAAGAAAAUACCUAUUCUUCAGUAAUUUCACUGAUAAAUUUAGCUUAAAACUACUAAUUUUCAGAGCAAAGUUCAAUAUUGGAGCAUAAAACAGACAACGAAUAAAGUACCAAUAAAUUGGUUGAAAAUCCAAUUUUUAAAUUAAAAAUAAAUAAAUAAAAGUGCGGUUUAUUUUCCCUUCCAAAAAUAAUACUUAAUCCACCCCCAUUUUUCCUUAUUUCUCUUUUUUUCUCAGCAAUAAAAUAAAAACAAAUACCUAACAAGAAAUAAAUAAUUUGAAAAAAAAGGUAAAAGAGAAAUUAAGCGUACAGAGAGCGAGGAAGCACGGGAGCUGAAGUGGCGCACGUGGGGAGACCGGCGGAGGGAAUCACCCCCGUCCAAAUCAUGCCUCUGAUUAUGAUGACUGAGAUGAUUCCGGCGAUGGUAAUUCCGUUCAAUUGAGGACCCAAUCCCUAAAUCCGGAUCGGGUCGACCCACUCUUGACCUUCGUGUGUAGAAUAACUCCGAAGCGCUUGUCAUCCAACUAAAACCCCCAAAUGGUGUUUUGAUCUGAUCUUACCAAUUAAAAUUUAUUUUUAAUUUCUCCAAAAAAACAAUUAAAUAAACAUGAAAAUUGUAAUUUGGAUUAAGAAAUAAAGGAAGAGAAGCUGAUGAGCCCUACGAAGAAACGCGGGAGAAAUUCCUGCGAAUGAAAAUCGAUAGCCUUAGCUUCAAAGAAAAUGAAUGGAAAGGGAUGUGUGCUUUUUAACCCUAAAUGGUUUAAUUCCGGUUUUAGUCCCCCUCAUAUGCUAAAUUUUAAAAUUUAAUCUAUAUAUUUUAAUUUUAUAUAAUUUCAUCCUUGAUUUUAAGGAAUAAUAUUUGACACCCCGCUAAUACAUUAUCAUUGAACAAUAACAUGAUACUUCAGGAAAACCAAAAUUAGUGAAAGACUUAUCGAUAAAUAUUAACAAUUUUAUUUAGUGUUUUGAUUUUUAAAUUUUACAUUUCGAAUUUUAGAUAUAUUUAAAUAAAAUUAUUAAUAUUUAUUUAUAAGUCAUUCAUUAUUUUUUAUUUCAUUAGCAUUGAAAUAUCGUGGUUGACGAAACUUAUACAUCAACGAUAUAUUAAAUAUUUGUUUUUAUUUUUAUUAAUUUCUAUCAUUAAAACGAUGAUGUGAAAUCUUUUAUUGAUAAUUUUGUUAUGGUCAAGGUAGCCAUAAUAUAUGUUUUUUAAUACAAAUUCUCGAUAACAAUUAGUAAUAUUAAGAAUGUAAAAAAAUUAAAUCAUGUUAAAUUAAUCGAGGUUUAAGGGUAUAAAAGGUUCUCAAAUUUAAAAAAAAAAUUAAUUCUAUGCUUUUUUCACUCAAUUGAGUAUUUUAACUUUCAAAAAUGUAUAAAAAGGCUCUCAAACUUUUUCAAAAAAAGCAAUUAAGGCCCUACUUUUUUUUACGCUCAAUUGGGUACUUGAACUUUCAAAAUACAUAAAAAAAUGCCUUCAAACUUUUUCAAAAAGCAAUUAAGCCCGUGCUCUCUCUCUCUCUCUCUCUCUCUCUCUCUCUCUCUCUCUCUCUCUCUAUCUAUCUAUCUAUCUAUCUAUCUUCCUUACUCCACUCUAAUCUCAUCUCGAUCCAGGACACCUUGUAUCUAAUGAUGCGAACCACUUAGCUUCGCUGUCAUCUCAACCUUGCCAGAUUUAGACAUCAACAGUUGGUGCGAUGAGCGUGGAUUCACUCCCGCAAUAAUAUUUUUCCAAUGGUAAACUAGAAACAAAUAUCCCCAUAGAUCAACCUCAAAACUAAACCCAAAAUGUCAACCAAGCCUAGACAAACCAAAACUUUGGAACCAACUACUAUGACCCUUAAAAUUAUUAUGCCUCGGCAUACCCACGUCAACAAAGGUAUUAAGAAACCUAUCUAAACUACCAAAACUAAACUUACACAACCCAAAACCAGAACGCCAAUUCCUAACAAUUCUCAGAGUUGCAGGAGCAGUUUUGGAACCGACAAGAACAAUUCAAGCAAUCUCAGGAAUUCCAAUAGCAACAACAACAAAUAUAUCAAUAGCAAUAAGAGCUACUUUAUUAUAGCAUGCAAGAUUUGCUGGUUGCAUAAAGGCAAGAAAGAAGAAGACGAAAUCAUGAAGAAAGGAAAACCUCAUCGAUUCAUCAAGAACAUAACCAUAACUAAGAUUGUAAAGCAUGUCAACAAGGUGGAAUACUCAAUAACCAUGCAACUANNNNNNNNNNNNNNNNNNNNNNNNNNNNNNNNNNNNNNNNNNNNNNNNNNNNNNNNNNNNNNNNNNNNNNNNNNNNNNNNNNNNNNNNNNNNNNNNNNNNCUAACUAACUAACUAACUAACUAACUACUACUACUACUACUACUACUCUCUCUCUCUCUCUCUCUCUCUCUCUCUCUCUCUCUCUCUCUCUCUCUCUCUCUCUCUCUCUCUCUUUUUUGCACUCAAUUGGUUAGGUAAUUGAAUUGUCAAAAUGCAUAAAAAAUAACAUUUGAUCGUUAACUUUAAUAUUUGACCGUUAAAAUUAAUUGUCUCUAAUUUUUUUCCGUUAAAGUCAUCCUUUGUCACAACCACGACAUGACAUGUGGAAAAAUAAUUAUAAAAAAUAAAAAUCAAUAAAAGUUAUAAAAAUAUUAAAUUUUAAUAAAAAUAUAAAGUUUAUUAAAAAUUGUAAAUUUUAUAAAAAUAAUAAAUAAUUAUAAAAUGUAUCAAAAAGGCCAUUUAACCAUCAAUUUUAACCGUUGACUGUUAAAGUUAACGACCCCUAUUUUUUUUCUAAUUAAAGUCAUCACGUAUCACAACACAGUGUAACAUGUGGUAAAAAUGAUAAAAAAAUAAAGAUCAAUUAAAGUUAUAGAAAAAUUAUAAAAUGCUUCUUUAAAAAUUAUAAAAUGCUUCUUUUGAUACGAUAAUUUUUAUAUCUUUUUAAUGAAUUUUUAUUUCUUUACAUUUUUUAUAAUUUUCUUACAAUUUUAUAAAUUUUUACCAUUUUUGUAAUUGUUUAUGAUUUUUAUAAUUUUUUAAUAAUUUUUAAUAAUUUUAUAUUUUUUAUUAAAAUUUAAUAAUGUUUAUAACUUUUAUUGAUUUUUAUUUUUUAUCAUUGUUUUGCCACAUGUCACGCCAUGUUGUGCCACGGGAUGACUUUAAUUGAAAAAAUUAGAGUCAGUUAACUUUAACGAUUUGACUAUUAAAGUUAACGAUCAAAUGGUCUUUUUUAUGUAUUUUAACAGUUCAAGUACCCAAUUGAGUGUAAAAAAAAGGUUUAAUUGCUUUUUUCUGAAAAUUUUGAGGGCUUUUUGAAUGUAUUUUGAAAGUUCAAAUACUCAAUUGAAUGCAAAAAAAAGGGUUUAAUUGCUUUUUUUUUAAGUUUGAGAGUCUUGCAUUUUGACAAUUCAAAUACCUAAUUGAGUGCAAAAAAAAAGAGAGCAGGGGUUAAUUAAUUUUCUUGAAAAAGCUCGAAGACUUUUUACACCCUUAAGCCAUUAAUCAACCGACUGAGUGAUUGAAAUUUGAUGAUUUGGGAAAAUAUCCGGUGAAUAUCAAUUAGAGAAAUUAAAUCUGAAUUUCAAUAUAUUAGAGGGACUAAACCCAGAAAUUUACCGUGAAAAAAAAAAGGUAUAUUUUUAUGUGUUAGUUGAAGGAGUAGCAUUUAGAUGUAACCACGCGUUAAACAAAGUGUUCCAUUACAUCAACGAUAGAAUUUCUUUUCCUUCAACAAGAUUUUUUGCGUUGACUGUUGACCAUGGAAAAACGAUAAAUCAAAUUAUUAAUUGAAAGUGAUAUAUAUUCCUUCCAAGAGAAUUUCUUUCCUACUAUCGAGAGUUUGAUUUUCUCCGUGGCUAUCGAGAGUUUUAUCUCUUAACGAGUCUACAGAAUGGAAUAAAUUUAAUUAUUGGGUUUACUUUGAUAGAUACCUUGAGAAAUAAAAAAAAAUAAAAUAGACAUAAUAAAUUUCUAAGCUUUGGUGAAUAUAAAUAAGAAAACUAAAUGAAUUUUGGUUUAGGUAAAUUUUGGAUUCAGAUUAAAUUUAAAUUUUGGUUAAUUCUUAUUCAAGUCAAUUAAGUUUAAUUGUAAUUUUUGAAGGUUUGGUGAUUGGGAUUUAGAUUAUUUCAGGUUAUAAUCACUUUGAGUUUAAGACAUUUUAAGUUAUUUAUUCGGGUCAUGCUUAGUUAUUUAUUUGAAUUGUUUCAGGUUUGGAUUAAUUUGAGUCAAUUUCAUAUUUAGGUUAGAUAAGUCAAUUUUCAAGAUAUGAACUAGAGCUGUCUAUGAGCCAGGUCAUCUGGUCUGGCCUGAAGGCCGAUCCGAAAAAUGGAAGGAUUUUAACAAAAAAAUAUAUGUCCAAAAAUGAGCUUGGACAAAAAAUAAGGCUCGUUUAGAAAAUGGGUCGGACCUCGGGUAAGGUUUUUUUUUACCCUGGCUUGACCCAGAUUUGCAAUUAAAAAAUUUGUUUUUUUGCUAAACUUUCACUAUUAUGUUGUUUCAAUUUGUUGGGAAACAUUUAUUUUAAUAUUUUUAGCGUAUUAUAUUUUUAAAAUUUUUUAUAUAAAAAAUUAAUACGGCCAGACCAUGCCCGAGUUUUAGCAUUUUUAUUUAGGUCGGGCCUGAGCAAAAUUUUAAGCUCAUUUUUUGGGCCAAUUUGAGCCCAAAAAUUUAUCAGAACCCGACCUGACUCGAUCCAUGGACAACUUUAUAAAAUAGCUAUAUAUAUAUAUAAAUAUAUAUAUAUAUAUAAAUUGUCCAUGAGCUAUUUACUAUUUAGAGUAUUUAAAUAUGUCGAUUGAGAUUUAAGUUCUUUUUAUUCUGAGAGGUGGAAUAGCAUAAUUCAGUUAAAGUAUAAUGAUCAUAUACCUCUAAUGCAUUAUAUGUCUCAUUCUUCUAUCCUUUUAGGGUGUUAAUGAUUAUUCAUAGCUAUUAUAUUGAUAUCAAAAAAGAGUUCGAUCCAAUAACCAAAUACUUUUGCCAGAUUGAUUUUGGAUUAGAUUAAUAUGUUUUUGGUCAAUUUGAAUUUUAAAAAUUUUCAAAUUAUUUCAAUUUCGAUUAGUUUUAACUUUGGAUCAAUUCGUAUUCAAUUCUAUUAUAGGCUCAGAAUUAAAUGAAUCGAGUUAUCAAAUUUAAUGAUUGGUACAUUCAUUUUGUGUAAAUCAUUUAAAUGUAUAGUUUAUUAUUAACAAAGUAAAAUUUUAUUUAAAAUAUUUUAAAUACCACUCUAACACAAUUACAUAAUUCAUAGAUUAUAUAAUUUGAAAUUAUCAUUACACACUACCAUUGAUAGUUUCAGCUUCUAAGUCCAAAAUAUUUUAUUCAAAUUUCAUAAAAACCCCUUCCCCUGUCUCCAUGACUAAUUUUGUUUGAUCAUCACAUAUUUGCAUGGGAAUAGUGUUCAUCAUGAACCGAAGACUCUGGUUUAUCAACACCGUCGACGCUUCGAACCCAGUAACUUGAACUGAAUGAAGCCGCCCGGUCCGGAACGUCAUCCAUCACCCAUUCAUGGCCUUUUGGGAAAUAUAUCCCACUCUUUGGAUGUGGAACCCAACUCGAUGAACCUUUUAUAUCGUUGUUACUCUUGCACUUCUUAUUGAUCUCUCGAUCUGCGCCUGCAAUUUUGCUCAAUGGUCGCUCAACGCGUUUUGCUUCCCUACACCCGAAUAAUGUUUCCAAAAGUCAAAUAUGUUUAUUAAGUUCAUAAUGAUUUGCUUCUAAAAUUUGUAUUCUUGUAUGGUUUUUUUGGUAAAAAAAUUAAUUUUAAACAAAAACAGCUCAAAACUAUGACUCAAACUUUGAAACGAUCUCAAAUGUUCUAAUUGAAUCCUUAAACAUAGUGCAUACUUAAAACACAAACACGUCUUAAAUAUGCUCUGCAUCAAACAUAAGCUAACAUUUAACACCCAAUAGACAUGAUAAAAAAAACUCGGUUGGUACGAUACUAAUAUUUUUAGGACCCAAUUAAACCGUUUUAAAAUUUAAGGACUAAUUUAAAAAAUUCAUUCUAUAGAUUAAGAAAGUCAGUUGUAAUCAACCCAAAGAAUAACGACAACAUUACGUACCUUAGCAUCAAAAUCUUGGUUUUGGUAAAAGCAGCUCUUCCCAUGCAAUGCAGCUCUUUGAAACCCCUCAAAUUGUAUAAUGCAGCUCUUCAAAGGACUCCAAUGCAAUUAUCUAGGAUUUGAUCGUUUGAUUUAUAUAAUGCUUUCGAAAGUGCAGUUUUUGUACUUUAAAUUGUAUCCGAACGAAUGAAUAAAGGUUUGAGGAAUAAGUUCGAUUGCGAAAUUUAAAAAUUUAGAAUAUGCUAUUUGGUAAUUUCCUCUUUUUAUUUUUAUUUUAAGAAAUUUAAUCAUUUUAUAUUUUUCGGAUUUAAGUAUACAGGUCCAAUUAUUAUUAAAAGUGAUUUGAUUAAAAAAUUGAAAAAUAUUUUGAAUUUCGAGUUAAUCGAAUUGAGUUGUUCGAUUUUUUUGAAUCAACCCGAAUAAGUAAUUCGAUUUCGAGUCGAGUUGAAUUUUACAAUUCGAAUAACAGAUUAAUGUAAAUACUCAUUUGGUCCCUGUCAAUUUUAAAAAUAGACAAAUUUGUCUCUCUCAACAAAGUUUACAAAAAAAAUUCAAAAUAAUUUUCAAAAAGUUUUAAAUCAUUUUUAAAAUUCAAAAUUUAUAUUUAAAAAAUUAUAAAAAUUCUAAAGAAUAUAUAAAAAAUUAUUCUUUUUAAAUAAUAAUUUUUGGGAAAAUUAACUAUUUAAGUUUAUCAUACUAAAAUAUCUUCUUUUUUUUUUCUUAUUUUGCUUUGAAAAAGUUUUCAAAUUUAUGUGUUCUAACAUUGAAUUAGUUAUAUUGUAACAAGAUUUUAAUUUGACAUAUUUAAUUUUUUAAUUUCACUCGAUUCAAAAGAAUUUCAAAUUGAGUUAGUAUGACAAAAUGAGACUCGUCAACUCGAUUAACUCGAAAUUUUUUCACUUCAUUCGAUCGAAUGCUCAGUCCCAACUAACAUCAUAAAAAUUCGUUUGUUAAAUUUAGGUUCGUUACAAUAUUAAUUUUUUAUUAUAUGACUAUCAAACUGGAAAAUAAAGAGAUAAAUAUAUAUUUUUGGUACUUAUGUUUAGCUUUGAUCUUAAUUUUCCUACUUACGUUCUUUUUUCAAAUUGGUACUUAUGUUGUCUUUAAUUACACAAAAUGGUAUCAAAUUUAGUAUAUGAUAUAUGUCGAUGAUGAUGUCAUAAUAACAUUUGGGAAAUUAUUAAAAAAUAUAAAAAAUAUAUAUUAAAAAUUCAAAAUAUAAAAAAUUAUAAUGUUUGAUACCAAAUAAAAAUAAUAUAAAAAUUAAUUUUUUUAUAUUUUCAUAUUUUUAUAAAAAGGUAUCUUUUUUUAUGAAAAUAUAAAAAUCAAUUUUUUUAUAAAAAUCAUUUUUUUAUAAUUUUAUUAAAAAUUUAAAUCAAAAUCAUGAAAAUAUUAAUGAAGUUACAAAAAAGAAUUACAAUUUCUUACGUGAAAUAUAUAUUUUGUAUUUCUAGAAAUUUUUAGAUUUGUAAUAUCUUUAAAUUUUUGGAUAAUGACAUUAUCAUCAUCACAUGUCAAAUGAUCAUUGGACCACAAAAUAAAAGUUAGUAUCAUUCAACUUAGGUACCAUUCUGUGUAACAGUAGUCAAACAUGGGUACCAAUUUGAACAAAAAAUGAAUAUUGAAAUCAAACAUAUGUACCCAAAAAUAUAUUUACUUUUUUUACUAAAAUGGUUUAAAUUAAAUUAUUAUUUUUUAAGAGGGGUCAAAAAUGAAAAUUUUCAUUUAAAAAGAAUUAAAAUAUUAAAUUUUAGGAGGGGCUAAGAUGCAAUUCCAUUACCAAGGAAGCAAAGCCUCUAACUGCCCUUGGUUUGUUUAGCGGCGAAGUUUGGGGACAAUUUGUGGCCUUGACCCUCUUAAAUUUAAAUAAUUCAAUUUAAUCUCUUUUAGCCCAAUUAUUAAGGGGAGGUCAACUUCUUUAAAAGAAGUUGCCCAAGUAUCAUUCAUUAAAGCUGGCGAAUUCCUCAAUAAAUUGGUAUUAUUUCAAUUGAAAUUUUGUCUCCUAACUCUAUCGAGAAUUCAAGUGCCAAAAGAAUUAACGGGUUCACAAAACGAAUGUACAUUCUGUUACUCCAAAUAAAUGAGAAUUAACAAAUUUCUCCCGAAAAAAUCCACCUCCUCUCGUUACCUCUUUUUCAAAAGUAAAUCUUAAUUCGCUCAGCGGAUUUGGAAUAUUGAGAUUUUUUUAGUGAAAAGAGUGGCAAAUUGGUGUGACACCUAAGGUCACUUUAACAUAUAGCUCUAAAUUUUUAGAAACAUUGUGAAUCGUUACUUCAGCAUAUGCCUCUUGUUUUUUCCCUUCUUUCACCAGAACAUAUUCAUAUUCAAUGCAAAUAACUUAUCUCUUACACAUUUGAUUGUUGGUUAAAUUCGAGUUUUAGUCCCUAUAUUAUACUUCAUUUAAACUUUAGUCUUUAAUGUGACGUAAUCUAACUUUCUUACUGUUAUCGGUGUUAUUCUUUAGUCUAAAUCCCUAACAUCAACACAACUCGAAAUUCAUUAUAUCAUUUAAAUUAACAUUAAAAUUAUCUAUUUAACUUGUGAUUUAAAUAAAAAUUAAAUUAUGAUAUAUCCACGAUAUGGAUAAAAAACAAAAUUAUGUGUCAAUUAAAUUUGUAAAAAAAAUGAAAUUUUAAUUACAACGAUAAAGUUCAAAUUUACUUUAUAUAAUGCAAUGAUGUUUUAGUCAUUGUUCAGUUGAAUUAGUGCCUAAUAACUUGUAACACCAAUUUAAUUAAUUAUGAAUAACAUUAAGUUUUAUUAUCUUUCUUUCUUUAAUAGAUUACGGUCGAUUACUUAAAAAAAUUACAGUUAAUUAUUAUUUUAUAAGGUAAACUAUCAAAAUAGUCACUUUUGUUUCUUUCAGGUUACAUUUUAGUCACUUAUGUUUAAAAUGUUAAGUUUUAGUCACUUACGUUUAUCGUAUUGUAACAUUUUAAUCACUGAACGUUAAUUGCCGUUAGCAGUGUAACAAUAAAGCUAAUGUGACACGUUUAAUCAUCAAUUCAAACGAAAAUUUUAAGUUAAAUUAUAUAAUUGGUCCCUAUUUUUUUUGAGCAAUUUAAAUUUUUUUCUUUUAUAUUCUUUGAAUUUUUUUAAAUUUUCCGUUCUCUUCUGUUUCUCCUUCUAUUUUCCUCCGUUCUCCGUCUCUUUUAACUUAAUUUUUCUAUGUUUUUCAUUUCUUAAAAUUUAUCCAUUUUUUUCUUUUAUGUAUUUUUUCUACGUUAAAAGAUAUGGAGAAGGGAUGAAAAUAGAGGGAGAAGUAG